rnacentral:lncRNA from 1 species
UUUUUUUUUUUGACUUGGUCAUAUUCUUUCUUUGAUUUGCUAGAUUUGAUGCCAAAAGCAUGCUCGAGAAGCUACGGAACAGAAGAGUAGUAUUUGUUGGUGAUUCAAUUGGAAGGAACCAAUGGGAGUCUCUACUUUGUAUGCUCUCUACUGCUGUUCAUAACAAGAGCUCGAUCUAUGAAGUUAAUGGGAAUCCCAUCACAAAGCACAUGGGUUUCUUGAUUUUCAACUUUAGAGACUACAAUUGCACUGUGGAAUACUACAGAUCCCCUUUUAUAGUCCUUCAAGGUCGUGCGCCAGCUGGAGCCCCUGAGAUUGUCAAGUAUACAAUUCGAGUGGAUGCCAUGGAUUGGAUGUCUGACCGGGGUAAAUGGAAGGAUGCUGAUGUAUUGAUUUUCAACACUGGCCAUUGGUGGAACGAUGAGAAAACAAUCAGGGGGUAAGCAUAACUUCUUGGAUUAUGGACUUUAGGGCCUGUUUAGAUCAUGCCGUAAAGGCAAAAAAUUUUUGCAAAAACGGCGUUUUUGUCUUUACGCAUCUAAACGGACCGGCGCAUUUUUUUUGGCAUUUGGGCCCUGUAAACGCAAAAUUUUUUUGCGACGGAAUCUUGCCAAUUUGAAGCACUAAAUGAAGUCUAUUUACAAAACUUUUUGCACAGAUGGGCUGUAAAUCGCGAGACGAAUCUAAUGAUGCUAAUUAAUCCAUGAUUAAGCAAUAAUUAGCGGAUGGUUACUGUAGCAUCACUGUUGCAAACAUGGAUUAAGUAGGCUCAUUAGAUUCGUCUCGCGAUUUACAGCCCAUCCAUGCAAAAAGUUUUGUAAAUAGACUUCAUUUAGUACUUCAAAUUGGCAAGAUUCCUUCGAAAAUUUUGCGUUUACGGCUUUUUUGCGUUUACGGGGUGGGAGCUGUAAACGCAAAAACUUGUAAACUUUUACAGCCCCCAUUUUGCGUUUACACCUUUUUGCAUUUACAGGUCAUCUAAACAGGCCCUUAAUAGUAUUCUAUACCUCACUUGGCAGCAAUUCUUUUAAGAUGUGAAUGAUAUUUAUUAAGAUCGCAGUGAUAUUACCUUCAGCUAGUUCUUUUCAUCAAUAAUUUCUUGGAGAAAUAACUAUCUGAUCCAUAUGUUCAAGAUUAUUUUCACUAUUGUUUUUUUUUUGUUGAAAUGUGAUCAUCAAGUUCAAAUUCCACCAUUCAAUUUCAGACUUAAUGUAUUUAUACUGCUACCAGUGGUGUGAUAGCACUUCUAGUUCGUAUAUGUUAAUGUAUUUAUACUGCUACCAGUGGUGUGAUAGCACUUCUAUUUCAUAUAUGUUAGUGUCUAGUUAUCCACACCCAUGAGGCCGGGACAUGUAUUCAUAUAUAUGAUUUGCUGUUAGCUAUUGGAUAAAAUUAUGUGAUCCUAAGACUAUUAUGUAUUUGGGAUGUUGGGAUGGGGUUACUGAUUUUCUGAUUGGUAACACACUAUAAGAUGACUGAUAAAUCAUACGUUAUAACUCCUUUUUUUAGGGGAAAAAACUUCACAUUUUCUGAUCACCAUAGCUGUCUUAUGUCUGCUUGAAGCUGAUUUGCUGUUAUGUGCUAAAUCAGGGGUGCCUACUUCCGAGAAGGUGAUGAGGUGAAAAUGGAUAUGACUGUUACAGAUGCUUACCGAAGAUCAAUACAGACAUUGUCCGAUUGGCUUCACAGAGAAGUUAACACAAGCAAGACCCAUGUCAUCUACCGUACAUAUGCUCCUGUGCAUUUCAGGUAUGUGUAAUCAUUCACUUUCCAGUGAUCACAUCCUUCAUCUGUUUCCUUGCUCAAGAAUACAUUGUUAAGAUGUGUUUCCUGCGAAUAAGUUAAACUGUCUCUUUAACCAGGAGUCAUAUAUAUUAACACUGUGAAUAUGUGCAGAGGUGGUGACUGGAAGACUGGAGGGAGCUGUCACUCGGAAACUCUUCCAGAUUUGACCCCACCCGAAUGGCUGGAAGAAUGGGGUGACCUGCUUAAACCUGUGAGUGAUGUUCUAGGGAACAAUCUGAAUCCCAAGCUUUCUGGAGUAGAUGUGCUGAAUGUGACGCGGAUGACAGCUCAGCGGAAAGAUGGCCAUCUCUCAGUAUACCUAAGCCCUUCAGGACCUGUGCCCCACUACAAACAGGAUUGCAGCCACUGGUGCCUGCCAGGUGUCCCAGACACCUGGAAUGAGCUUCUCUACGCCCUCAUCAUGAAGAGGCGUAUGAAGAUGGAUCAGAAUGUUUCCCUUGCUGGCACUAUAACACUGAACACUGGCUGAUAAUGACAAUCAACUGAGUGCUCUGCUCUCUGAAGUCUGAAGAAGGGAUGUGGUAAGGUAAAUCCAGCAGCUGCUCAUGGCAAAGCAAACUUCAUAGUCAUCCUGGGCGAUGGCACACAUGCCAAUUAGCUAGGAUGCCAGACACAUUUUUGGAUAGUGGGUGUCAGUUUGUAGGAAGCUGCAGCACCCUGCCGGUGUUUUGUACAUGUCGAGGUUAGUGUAUAGCUGAGCAGAGGGUAGAAGACCGUUCAGCUUUGAAGGAAAACGGUGUGUUUCAUGCAGAUGAUAUUAGUGUUAGCGGUGGUGAACAUAGCUAGCUAGGGCGCUAAAGUGAAUGAUGUAAAUAUAUAUAUAACGGCGUCGUCGGAAUGGGCAAUGUGGUUUUAACUGAAGCUCACUGCAGGUGUCAGCUGCGUGUGAUUCGAGAAUCUGUAAGCAGUAAGCUGCAAUAUUCUUCCACUGCUCGACCUCUGCAAGGAGGCGAGGCAGAUCUUGGAGCAGUUGCCGUAGCACAAGCAGCAGAACCCCGCAAGCCCGGCCACCUGAUGCUCCUCUGACAGCAAGAUGAGCAUGCAGUCAGCGCAGCGGCUGCCACUCUCUUCUCUUCCAUCCUUGUCUUCUCCUCAUGCCUGCAAUAGAACCAUAGGAUGAUCAAAAGGGAUAGCUUCUGCAAAACAAUGGAGGUGGAAUCAAAUUCAUGGAUAAUUGCAGAAACGAGAUGAUUCUUCUUCUGAAGUUCUGAUACAUUGUUGCAGAAGCUUUCCAACGAUCUGCUACGCAGCCUGAAAGAGAAAUGCUAUGUACAGUGUCACUGACACACGAAUUGUGACUUGUUUCUAUUUCCACAUAGACAUGGAAUAAUACCACAUUAAGUAUGUCAGAUUCAGACCAAUUUCAGCUUGUGGAGCAAAAGAAAUAACAACUACUUGGUCCUUUCAGAAGUUUUUGGACCAAGCAGGGAACCUGAUUGCCAAUCCAGGAGAAGCUUGCACGACACUGCUUCAAGACAUUAUCAGAACCAUGCGUUUGUUGGAAAUGCACAUUGCUUGGUUAAGUCUCUUGACCCAGCUGUUGGCUGCGACACUCUGAUCUGAAUAAUGUCAGAUAUUCAGUCGUCGAUUCAUUUCGAAAGUGGAGAACUUCACAAGUAUGCCAGACCAGGGCAUCUUGAGCAUGUCAAACGAAAGCCAUGUCAUCAACUGCACUGUAUCAAUUGUGAGGCAGAGCACGUUGAAUUUCAUGAUGUCCAGCUAAUGAAAACCGGCAGUGAUUCAUCAGAAUUCAGAACAGUAGGCAGAUCUGUCAAAGUUGGUAUGAAUGGAGGUAACGUAAUGCAACUUACCCAUGGUGAUAGGAUACCAGGAGUGCUGGACAUGCAUUGUAUCAUGCAAAACAUAAGAAGAAAUGAACUGGAGCUACAUAGAAGUUGAGAGCGCUCGAUCAAAGCCAAUCUUUCAGAAGUGCCAUACCCUUCGUCAGAAACAAACUGCACAAGCUGCGCGAGCAGAGAGAUUUACAGGGCAGGGAGAAGGCGCGGUACCGACCAACCUGCCAUGGCCUGCUGCUCGAGCUCAAGCGCGCGCGCCGCUGUUCGGCGUGCUGGCUCGGGUCCGACGACCGCCAAUGUGCGGGACUGGCUGCGGGAGGGCUGGGAUCCUGAGGCCACGCUUCGGAUGGAUACAGGGCUCGGCGCUCCCGGCUGGCACUGAAGGUGGGGAGCACAGGCGCAGCGGUGGCGCCGGGUCAUCGUCGGCGGACGGGCCGCCGGAGGGACGGAGCCGAAAUCGAGAUCGAAACGAGGGGGCAAAUUGUAAAUAUUCGGAUCGCGAUUAUUAAUCGCGAUCCGAACCAGGGGGCGGGGUGUAUGAAAUAAUAGGAUCGCGAUCCAAAAUAGGGGUCUAUUUGUAAACAUUAAGGGGUAUUAUGAAAAUAUAACCAGGGUUCCUUUGUAAUAAAUACUUGGGACCACGGGGCCAUGGCCGCCGCCGAGACUGUCCAGCCGGCGGCGAGCCCCAUCCACCCUUGGCCCAUCCCGCGCCGAGCGACGCACGGCACGGCACGGCCCUAACUCCCCUGUAGUCUGCAGUAGAAGCCCCCGCGGAAGCCCGUGGCGAGCGCGGCGCCCAUGGAGUGUGAGGAAUCAGAUUCAGAAGAGCCGCGUCGCGUACAGGAUGCAGCUCGGGGAGAGGCAUCCGCCGGCGGCGACGAAGGUCGACCAGCCUGGCGUUUGCCCGUUCGGUGCUGCGUGUUCGUCUUCUUCGUCGGGUCCGUCCAGCCAAUUCGUUGCGGCGGCGGCUGGCUCAGCUCGUGUCCUCUAUCCCGUUAAUUAACAUUAAGCCCCUAUUUCCAAAGUGCACCAGCAAACAUAGGGUCCGUAAUUCUGAAAGUUUGUGGACUGGAAACGGUUCUCACUGAAAUUACAAGCUUCACUGAAAUUACAAGUUUGAGAAAUGUAGCAUGCAUGAUCUACUUGUAUUAUUAUCGCCGAUAAUUAUGAACAGUCAAGUGUGCUUGUUCUUGUACGAGUUCCAGUUCACGGUGCAAUCAUCAAGGCAACCUGCUGCAGCGCAGGCAUCAGUUGUCCCUGGCAAAUCCAAAUGCAAAGUCACAAAACUUUCAUAGACGAACACAAAAUUGAUCAAAGCAAGAUUGCUGUGUAAUAAAACAAGCGCCUCUUGCCGUCACCGGUCUCGGCCGCGCCGCAGAUGGAGGCGAGGCAGAUCUUGGAGCAGUCGCCGGCACCGAACGCGGCGACGGGCACCUCGUGUAAGUCGACGGUGCAGGACUCCACGCACUUGAUUUUGCAGAGCCACGCUGGGUUGCCCUCCCUGCAGCCAGGGUAGCAGCUGCCGAAGCACCCACAGAACCCUGUGAAUCCGGCCACCUGCUGCUGGCCUGACACGGACAGGGACAACAUGACGAGCAUGCAGCACAGAGCAGCAGCUGCAACUCUCUUCCCUUCCAUCCGUCCCUCCUCCCUGCAGUAGAGCCCGAGAAUGUUCAAGAGGAUCAUUCGUUUUGCAACGGCAUCAAUGUGUUGCAGAAAUGGGUGCAGAUGAAAUCAAACGCAGGGAAAGUUGAAGUAGUAGGAUGCUUACCAGUGAUUGUUCCUUCAGAAACUGGGACUUGAGGUGUUCUUUCUGUUGCGCAUUUUGUGUGGUGACAUUCAGAUAAUGACGUCCAUCUAUAUGUACCACUGGAGCAAAGGCUUGGAAUCUUGUUCUGAUGCAUUCUUGCACAAGCUUUCUAGAGAGAGCUAUGCAGACUGAAAGAGAUGGAGGAGCACCGCACAAGUAUGCCAGAUUCGGGCCAAUUUCAGCUUGUUGGGCAAAAUAUUUUUUGGUACUUGUAUGGCAGUAUACAUUUGAUCUCACUGUGUUCAGGAAAGAACAUCGUGAUUCGUGACACAAGCGAACAUGUCAGAUGUCUAAAAAGUUGGUAUGGACAACAUAAUCAUGCAUAGAGUUAGGGUCAUGAAGCUAUUCAUGACCAAGCAGGAAACCUUCCCCAUGAAAAGGAUUCUGACAAUACAGGAAAAGCUUGCGAAACGAUAGUAGUUCGACACAUUAUCACAAAGAAUGCAUUGUGUUGGAAAUGCACAUAUGCACAUUGGUUGGUUAAGUAUCUGAACCCAAAUAAGUAGCACGGGUAGGACAGCUGUUGGCACUGCAACACUCUGAUCUGAAUCAUUUCAGAUGUUCAGUCGUGGAUUUAGUCUGAAAAUGGAGAAUUAGGACAAGUAUGCCAGCUUCAGGAAUCAGGAUUCAGGACGGCUUCAGCAUGUGCAACAAAAGAAAUAUCAACUAGUAUACUGCAGCAAUUUGGAGGCAGCGAACACAGAAUUUCACUAUGUUCAGCAAAUCAGAACCCUGCUGUGAUACAUCAGAACUCAGGACAAUAUGCAGAUUUGCCAAAGUUGAUAUGAAUUUGAAUCGUAUCAGAAUAUGAUUGUGGGGGCUAACGUAAUCGAUACUUACACAUGGUAAUAAGGUACAAAGACCGGUGAACCUGCGUAAUUUGAGGCAAAUGUUAGAAGAAAUAAAUUGCAGCAGCAUAGCAGUUGACAGCACUCGAUCAAAGCAGACCCUUCAGAAACAGGUAGCACAAACGGCGAGACCACAGAGAUUUUUUUUAUUACAGUUCAUAGAGAUUUAUGUGGACAUGGAUCAGGAUCUUCACGGACGUGCUGUUUCCAAUUUCAUUACAUCGAGGACAAGAUGAAGCCACGGUAUUGAUGAACAAACCUGCCAUGGCCCGCGGCGUGGGCUCACAUUGGUUGGGUAUUGCAGAAAUAUUUACAACUUCCAGACACCAAUGUUAGCGCAGGGGAGAGAGAGACUGGUUGCAAUUGCUUCGGCAGCAGGUUGAGUGGUUCAACUUGGCCAGACAGAAUCAGUCAGGGUGAAUUUCCUGAAAGCAAAGAAAUACUCUCCAAGAGACACGGAGAUCCUUCGGGAGCUUCGGUUGGUCGUGGAACAAGGCAAGGCUCUGUACUAAAAGCAGGGGGAGCUAUACAAUGGUCUCAUUGGGCCAAGGCCUGAAGUGAAACCAAAGAAGGCAAACUAACUCGCUAUUUUCUGGCAGUGGCUGUUGUCCUUGAUUCGUUAUCUGGUUCGGAUGUUCAGUAAGAAUGAGCAAGGUAGUUUACCUGAAAAUUGUUCAGAAUAGGUGCUUGAGAUUCCAUGACUAGCAUGACCAACCUGAAAAUUAUGCAACAAAAAGCAUCCAAACUUUCUUGAACCAUUAACAUGUAUUUUUUUUGAACCAUUAACAAAAAGCAUCCAUUCUUGAACCAUCCAAAUUUAUCCUCGGCCCUGUCAACUGCUUGAGCUUUGCUCAGGCCAUCAAUGACUGCUACGGGUUUUGCAGGUUGCUCAUUGCGGCCUGCAGCGAUGGCCGUUGUGGAAGAAGACGCACGUUCUGCAACCGAGAUGACACAGCUCUCCAAUGAGACAGAAAUUUCUGUACAACUGCGAAUCGUUUGAUCUCGACGCGGCUGGAAUAAAAUAUAGUUGACUCUUUACGAUGUUUGUCAACCUUGGAGGAGUAGUGGUUCAUGGUCAUGGAAAAUACAGGCACAAAUCUCUGGAGGGCUAGGAAUGACCCAUCUUGUAGCACAGGCAGCAACAUACGGAGUAGCUACAGGCUAAGUACUCUGAACAAACAGAAAAACACGGUUCCUUGCACCCCUUUGCUUGCAGCUUCACGAUGCCACUCUGAAUGCUGCCAUUGCAGCCGACGCACAACACCACGACGCUGCCAUCGCAUCCAUGAUUGCCAAUGCACUUAGCUAUGACCAGGUGAAGGUUUUUUUUUUUUCGAAAAGGAUGACCAGGUGAAGUACAUGUACAUCACGGACAACCAACAGUUGGCACCAAUUCUACAGGAGGAGAAUUAUGAUUGAUCAGCUUGGAGACUGGAGACUGCGACCCCUUCUGCAUCGAACAACAACAAAGACAUACCUUUCACCUGACGAAAGAUUGGGCGAGAAACCAACUGGAUAGCUCAGAACAUAGCCAAGGAGGCAUGGAAAUACAGUUCACCUCCUUGAGUCUGUCAUCCUGUAACCACGUAGGCCGUCCAAUGCAUUGCCCGAUUCAACAGGCUUUGCAAAACGUUACCAAGGAAUAAAUAUUUAAUUUAUCAAAAAAAAUGUGGAACUUGAUGAUAGUUCUAUAUGCUUAUAUUUGAAGGACAUGCACAAAAUAUCUUCAAGCACCCCGUUCAUUGAUAUUUUUUUCAAGCACUGCAUUCAUUGAUAUGAAUUGAAUAAUUUCAAAAGUGCAGACAAAAGAGGCGCGCGAAGUUCCAUGAAACAUGCUUCGGACGCCAGCAUCAAUGAAUUAAAAAUGGUUCAGAUGACUGAGAAGAUUAGCAUCUCACUGUAAACAGAGACAUGCAGGAACUUCCUGUGAUAUGAAAAUGCAAGGAGUAUAGGAAAUGGGAGCCAAGAAUAUACUAAUGUCCCAGAAUCACAUAAACAUAUUCAAACUGCAGGAAAUCUGACCACUUGAGGAUGCUCUAAUACAGAAGUAAAAAAAAUAUAAAAGAUAUGUGCAAUCCAUGGAUAGGGCUUGUGCAUUUUUCGAGAGGUAGAUCAGCAUGGACUCCACUAGCAUUUGAUACUGAAGAUAAGGAUAGCAUUUCUCUAUAGAAUUUCAUCAAACAAAGGAGACCACAGAAUGUGGCUAGUAAAUUAAAGCACGAGACAGACAUAAUGACUCAAACAAAUUUACAUGUCAUUGGGUAUUGCAGAAAUAUUUACAACUUGCCCAGACACCAAUGUUAGCGUUUUGGGGGGGGGGGGGGGGGUGCUGGGCUGGUUGCAACUGCUUCGGCAGCAGGUUAAGUGGUUCACCCGCUUCAACAGGGAUGAACUCGUACAAUCCACCUGACUUUUGCCUGCAGAUAAUAAUGAAAACAAUUCAGCACCAUGGAAUCAUAUGCUUUCUAUCAACAGGCCGGACAAAAGGAUUCAGGAUCACAAGGUAACACUUCAAUUGGGUGGGUUAGAAUAAAAAAACAGAGAUCACAUGAAACUCGAGCGUACGGAGUUCCAUCAUCUUCAGCAGAUAUCAUAACCUUUUAAUGGGUGUGACAGUUGACAUGCAAAGCAAAAGGUUAUGCUACUUCACGAUCAAAUUCAGGAGAAGAAAAACGUGUUUAUGCACGCGCAUUCCUCAGGCAAAACAUCAACUGAUGGAUGAAACAAGAACAAAGAAAAUUAGAAUGAUGACAUUUCUAUGGAGCAGAUAUGAAAUGAUUGGCAUACUCUUCGAGUAAACCAGUCACUAUUCACACUAUUCACUGCAUAUGUCAAGUGCGGAGUAAGAAUACCUGCAAGUAUCAGUUGAUUUUAGGGCUUAGGUAGUUGUAUUGUGGAUCCCUGAGGAAUUAGUUGAUUUGAGGAAAAACAGCUGUUGGUUGCAAGACUAUGAUCCGAGUCGUUUCAGAUGUUCAGUGGCGGAAUCAUUGUGAGAGUUGCAUAACUAUGCCAGCUUCAGGACAGCGUCGGAGGCGAACUACAUCGGCCGGGUUGGAGUAGGCGACGGACAACGGCGGGGUCACGUCGGAGGCGAACUACCCAUACACAGGUAGGGAGGGCGAAUGCGUCAACGGCAAGCCGAGAAACUUUGCGGCGCGUCAGAGCUUGCUUAAACCUGUGAAUGGUGUUCUAGGGAACAAUCCGAGUCCCAAGCUUGCGUAAUCUUAUUAUUCAGGUCUUGUCAGAGGACGAAAAUAGUGUGAAAGCACUGUUCAGGCUAGGAAAAGCUAAAUCUGAACUUGGCCAGACAGAAUCAGCCAGGGUGGAUUUCCUGAAAGCAAAGAAGUACUCUCCAAGAGACUCGGAGAUCCUUCGGGACCUUCGGUUGGUCGCGGAACAAGACAAGGAUCUGUACCAAAAGCAGGAGCAGCUAUCCAAUGGUCUCUUUGGGCAAAGGCCUGAAGUGAAACCAAAGAAGGCAAACUAACUCGCUAUUUUCUGGCAGAGGCUGUUGUUCUUGAUUCGUUAUCUGGUCCGGAUGUUCAGUAAGAAUGAGUAAGGUAGUUUACCUGAAAAUUGUUCAGAAUAGGUACUUGAGAUUCCAUGACCAUCAUGACCAACCUUGUACUGUUAGACUGGAAUAUCUGUGGAACUGUCGAUCAUUUGAUCAUGCAUUUGAGCAGUUGGGAUCAAAUAUACUUGUUAUGAACUCUAUACAAUAUUGUGUAUUGACGAACCUUGGAGCCUGUUAGCAAUAAUCUUGACUAGUAGUGCAGUAGGUACAUGUAAGUUACUCAGGGUCCAAGUCUAGUCUUUGCCUUGGGGACCAAGUUGAGUCAAGUCUUUGCCUUGGCAUGUAAGCCACUGUGGCUGUGUAGUAGUGUAUAUAUAGUGCUAUAAAUAGAAAGGAGAGGGCCUAGCUCCCUCGAGAGUUCAAGCAGCACCAAAGGAGAGUGGUCUAGUUCUUCUCUUCACAAGAGGAGUGUGUGUGGCUGCUGGCAGGUUGCCGUAAAGAACUGCCUGGGCUGUAGAGUAGGAGUUGCCGUAGCCGGAUACUUACAGGCUGACCGGAGGCAACUUUAGGUACUUAGGGAGGAGCUGAUCAAGUGAUCAGUUUCAAGUAGUUUGCUGCGGCAACUAGUGUGUUUCUACGUGAAACUAGUGUGUUAGCGUGUAUCUUCGGUCGUGUGCUGUCCUAACAGAGCCAACGUUCAUACAUUCUUUCAGCUGAAGUUUCAAAAAACUUUUUUUAUGCCAGUGAAUUAUACAGUUUUUCACAUUUUAGAUUAUUGUAGCAAUAAUACUGUCUCAAUUGAGCUCUAGAUUUCAUUCUCAUGUUGAUGCUGUUGCCAUUGAAACUGCAGUUGCUUGCAGAGGAGCACAAAGUCUCACUUCAUUGCUCUGGAAUUACAACCAUUCUAAGUGCAAGCAAAAGACAUGCCUGAUCCUGAACACACGCUAAAGAUGCUAUCAUGAAAUUUUUUUGAGUUCAGAUGACCAGGAGACUUACAAAAAUUGAUACUGUAAACAGACAUACUGCCAUACUGGGAACUUCCACUGCUCUUGUAUGGACAUAGAACUGCAACCCAUGCAAGGAGUCAGGGACAUCCAUAAAGCACAUACACAAUAUCUUGGAACUACAGGAAGGCCCAACCUUUGGAGGGUGGUCGAAUACAGAAGUAAAUACAAACAAUAUGUGCAAUACAUGGAGAGUACUGCUGCAUUUUUCAAGGUAAUUUACCAUGGACUCCCCAGUAGCAACCGGUGCAGGCAUAGCCGCAGAAAACAAAAACCAACCGAACAAACAAGGAACUCGAAGCAUCAGAAACAUUACUCAAUAUGUGAAACAUGAAAAGUGAACAAAGAAAGCAUGAUUCGACAAUGGAGUUAUUAAGGAAGGAGUGUGCCAACCUUUAAAGGGCUACAGUUGUUGGAAGCGCCCAGCCUUUCAAGUGGCAUCAAAUAUUCAACUUCAUCCAAGUAUGCAACUUCCCAAACACAAUAUUCAACUGAAGUCAUAAAAAAGAGUGCCAACAAGUAACACAUAGAUAAUACAGCUGCAGAAAGGUAAAACCAUGUCAACAAGCAAGGCUAACCAGAACAUUAUGGACAGUAGUGGUUUUGUGAACUGAUUAUGCAACAUGCUGAUAUGCAUCAACAGGGAAUAUAAAAUCAAUACCUUCAAAAACAUCUAAAGAAUAACCAAUGUAGAAGAUAAUGGUGACAGAGUUGGUAAACACUUUAUACUAAACAAACAUUUUUUUCCCAUUAGAGUCUGUUCCUUAUCUAUUAAUCCAUAUUCCAAAGAAUGAUAGUAUUGGAUUUACUAGAUACAUUGAAUUGCAAGCAGUAAACACUUAUGAUUUAUUUUAUCCUUGGAAGUGCAGGAUUUCUUAACAAAUUAUGCAACGAAAAGCAUCCAAACCUUCUUGAACCAUCAACAUGUAAAUUGAUCCCUGUUGUAAAUAUAAGUGCAACUGAAAACAAGAUAAUUUUUACUUGGUGAUAAACUUGAUACUGAAGAGCACUAUCAUGAUAACAUUUCUCUAAACAAAGGAGACCACAGAAUAUGGCAAGUAACUUAGAGCAUGAGACAGAAAUAUUCACUGCAAUGGAUAGACAUAAUCACUCCAACAAAUUUAUGCGCCACAUAAAAGAUGUCUCAACACAGUUGAGAAUCCAAUUCCUCUGAAAAAAUCCUCAUUUAUUGACAUCCACAAGAAAAUGGUACUUUUCAGGCAGGGACUUUGCAUGGUGCUGAUAUUCCUCCCUCGAGAAAACUGAUAUUAGCAAGGAAGUAGUGGAUGCCUCAAGUGAGAAGUUCAUCUCAUCAAUUUUGGCGAGGUAAGCCCCAGCCCUCAUUACCUCACCUCUAUGCAACAGACCCCUAACUAGAGCAUUUAGCAUACGAGAGUCUGGAGUGCAUCCACUCUUUUCCAUUGCUAAAAACAGAUUGUCAGACUCUUCUAGCAACCCUUCUUUUAUGAGAUUUUCUAUCAUUAAGCAAUAGGUCACAACACUUGGAACUAAACCAUGGGCAGAGAUAGCAGUGAACAUAUCCAUAGCAUCUUCCUUUCUGCCACUUUUGAGAAAAGCAUCAAUCAUAAUAUUGAAGGUACUAAUGUGAAGUUGAAAACCCUUAGAACAUAGACUCUGAAAUAUUUUAAAUGCCUCAUCAACAUAAUCAUUUUUGCAAAGACCAUUCAGAAUUAUGUUGUACGUGUAAAUGUCCAGCUGCAUUCCACUUUUGAUCAUAUUGAUAUAGAGUUCUUUUGCUUCAGAAAUUUUCCCAGACCGAAAUAAACCCUGAAGUACCAUGCUAUAAGUGACAAUUCCAGGCCUAACUUCAUUGCUUAACAUUUCUCUGAAUAGUCUAACUGCAUCAUCUAUCCUGCCAGCUCUACAAUAGCCAUGAAGCAAAGUAUUAUAAGAAAAGGCCUCUGGUUUCAAGCCAACUCGGACCAUAUCAUCAAGUAACUUCAUAGCUUCCUUCAUCCUACCAGCUAAGCAGUGGCCAUCCAUUAACGUAGUAUAUGAGAUAACAUCAGGUCUCACACCUACACACACCAUCAAGUCAAGGAGACUCUGGGCUUCCGUGACUCGUCCUUCUCUGCAAAGGUUACACAUUAUUGUGUUGAAGAACGUGGAAUCGGGAUGGACACCAUGAUUCAGCAUUUCAGAAAAUAAUUCAUUAGCCUUCUCCCAUUUGUCAGCAGUGCACAGUCCAUAAACUAGUGAGCUAAAUACAAUGAUAUCAGGACUCACCCCUUCAUAGAUCAUCUGAUUAAAUUUGAGCAUAGCCUCGUCCACUCUUCCCGACUUGCAAAGUGCAUCUAUUAUUGCUCCAUAGUUGACUACAUUUGGACUCAACCCUUGCUGCCUCAUUUGGUCAAAUAUAUGCAUUGCCCCAUCUAUCUUACCACCUUUAGCAUAUGCCCAGAGAACUAUGUUAAAGGUACAAUGGUCAGGUGAAAUAUCAUUUCCUGCCAUCAAAUCCAAUAGACCAUGCAUAUCAGAAAGAGCUCCUUUGGUAGCAUACCCAUUAAGCAGAGUGUUAUAUGUAGUUACAUUAGGUUUUGUGCCCUUUUCAAUCAUAGAAUCAAAAAUCUUUCUAGCCACUGUGCAUCUUCCACUCUUGCAAAGGUAAUCCAGCAGCAAAUUACAAGUGACAACAUUAGGACCAUGACCAUGUGCGGACAUUUCUUUGAGCAUUCGAACCACCUCUUUCCCCUGUCCUGAAGAGCAAUAUCCAUGGAUCAGGCAAGUAUAUGUCUGAUUGUUUGGCUUGACACCUUUAUGAACCAUCUGCCGAAGGACACCCUCGGCCCUGUCAACAGCUUGAGCUUUGCAUAGGCCAUUGAUGACUGUGGUGUAGGUCACAACAGUCGGCAAAAUCCCCUGGUUAUCGAUUUCACGAAAUAGGUUGUAAGCUUUGUCCACCUGACCCUCUCUAAAUAAGCCAUCGAUGACGAUGCUGUACGCCACGACAUUUGGUGGGCAGCCAAACUCGGGCAUUCGUCGGAGUAAUAUGUCCAUGGCCUCAUCCACCCUCUUUGUGUCACAGAGACCUUUGAGAAGCGGAUUGAUGACUGUUUGCACCCUCCAGCCCGCCUUGAGGACGAGGCCAAAGGAGGCGAAACCAAGCUCCAGGCGUCCCAUGCGGCAGAAGCAACCGAUGAGGAUGUUGUAGGUGGACGCAUUGGGAGCCACCUUGUUCGGGGAGGCACGGACCAUCCGGUUGAAGAGGGACACGACGAGCGCGGAGGUCGAGGAGCCCCUUCCCUGGGCGCGAAAGAUGGAGGUAAGGAGGUGGUUGAAGGCGCGAACCGAGGCCGGCCUGGCGUGGGGGAGCAAUUCGUCGAACAUCUUGACGGCGUCAUCGAUACCGAGGCUUUUUCCCGAGCUAACGCGGCCAACGAUGGCGCGCUCCAGCUCCAAGCAGCGGUCGCGCACGCGGCAGGACAUGCCGGCGGGGCACGGCACGGCUAGCGGCCCGGCGAGGAGACGGAUGGGCGGCCCUGCAUCCGCCUCCGGGUCGGGCGUGGCGGCUCGAUCGGUGGGGGCGGAACAGCGCGUUCUGCGGCGUGGAGUGGGCGAGCGAUGGAUCUGGAAUGCUACCGGCGGUGGCCGCGGCGUGGAGUGGGCGUUCUAUGCGUUGGCUGGUUGGGGCGGCGUGGCGCCGGGCGUCAGGUGUUGGAACAAGUCCUGAGCUCCUAAUCUUAGAAGAAGGUAGCAGGUGGCAAGCAUUUUCAAGGGAUUCGCAAAGCAAAGAUCUUAAUCCGUGCUGGACAAACGGUUUCCAAUUCAAAAUACUAUUGGCAGUGUGCUAUUUCCGCUGAAGUCUGCAUUUCCGUUUCCCUUUUUCCAGCUUGAUUGAUCUGUGCUCAUCCUUUUUAUGAACAUUCUUCGGCCAAUCAGAUGUGGAAACGUUUUUUCACUCAAUUCAUAAAUUACUUGCAUUAGAGAGCUAUAAACCUUUCUACUCAAUUGUACUCAAUUGCUGGCAUCUUUCAAACCAAGUUGAAUACCUAAAAAAUACACACAGCCAAGAAGGUAUGAAAACGAAAACAGACGAGAAGAGGGGGGGCAUUAUUUAUUGUUUGUCAACAUAGUAAAAUAAUUUCUAAGUAAAACUUUCCUCCCUGCAAUUUCCAUAGAUGGGGGAGAUUAUAUUGACGAGAGGAUUUUGACCAGUCAUCUUGCAUGGAAUUAUCCUCCUCGCUACACAUCGUCCCUCUUGUGGUGGGCAGUUGAUGUAUACAGAAACCUUGCACAAAUAUUGCAUUUAUGAGUUAAAAAUGUUACAACACAAAGAAAGCAAAACAAUUAGAAGUGUGCUGACUGUAGAGGGGAGAGGAAAAAAAUUCUAAUCAUUUCCAAAUAACUGAAAAGACGUGCCUUAUGCACAGUUGCACUCAUUAUCAACAAUCCAACCAAGGUCACAACGUGGAUUCUAUGAGAGGAAAACAAUCAUCAGGGGCAUCUUGUAGCCCCUCAAUCAAAACAACAUAGAAAUCAAGGGCUGGUUGCUGGAGCUUGUAUGAGGGGAAAACAUAUCAAAACCUUUUACACUGCUAACAGUGGGGGAAUGAAUACACAAGCUUAAAUUAUAGGAAUCACGUCAAGGAUCAAGAGGUCCAGAUCAUAUAUUUUAUCACCAUGAGUGCAGGGUACCUUCACAAACAAGCAACAAAAUGCAGAGACCUAAGUGAUACCAGUUAAUUUGUAAACUGAUUCUGCUGUAAAGCUAACUUGAUCGCAUUAAAGAUAAUUUUACCUGGAGAUAAACACUUAACCGCACCAACACAACAGCAUUUCUCUAGAGAAAAACAAAUGGGACAACAGAACAUCAUAAGUAAAUUAGAGCAUGAGACAUGAAUAAUCACUUCAACAAAUUAACAUGUCCCAUUUAGAUGUAUCAGCACUGUUGAGAAUUUGAUUCAUUUAGCACAACACUCAUUUAUUGACAUCCACAAGAAAAUGGUACUUUUCAGGCAGGGACUUUGCAUGGUGCUGAUAUGUCUCCCUCGAGAAAACUGAUAUUAGCAAGGAAGUAGUGGAUGCCUCAAGUGAGAAGUUCAUCUCAUCAAUUUUGGAGAGGUAAGCCCCAGCCCUCAUUAUCUCACCUCUAUGCAACAGACCCCUAACUAGAGCAUUUAGAAUACGAGAGUCUGGAGUGCAUCCACUCUUUUCCAUUGCUAAAAACAGAUUGUCAGACUCUUCUAGCAACCCUUCUUUUAUGAGAUUUUGUAUGAUUAAGCGAUAGGUCACAACACUUGGAACUAAACCAUGGGCAGAGAUAGCAGUGAACAUAUCCAUAGCAUCUUCCUUUCUGCCACUUUUGAGAAAAGCAUCAAUCAUAAUAUUGAAGGUACUAAUGUGAAGUUGAAAACUCUUAGAACAUAGACUCUGAAAUAUUUUAAAUGCCUCAUCAACAUAAUCAUUUUUGCAAAGACCAUUCAGAAUUAUGUUGUACGUGUAAAUGUUCAGCUGCAUUCCACUUUUGAUCAUAUUGAUAUAGAGUUCUUUUGCUUCAGAAAAUUUCCCAGACCGAAAUAAACCCUGAAGUACCAUGGUAUAAGUGACAAUUCCAGGCCUAACUUCAUUGCUUAACAUUUUUCUGAAUAGUCUAACUGCAUCAUCUAUCCUGCCAGCUCUACAAUAGCCAUGAAGCAAAGUAUUAUAAGAAAAGGCAUCUGGUUUCAAGCCAACUCGGACCAUAUCAUCAAGUAACUUCAUAGCUUCCUUCAUCCUACCAGCUAAGCAGUGGCCAUCCAUUAACGUAGUAUAUGAGAUAACAUCAGGCCUCACACCUACACGUACCAUCAAGUCAAGGAGACUCUGGGCUUCCGUGACUCGUCCUUCUCUGCAAAGGUUACACAUUAUUGUGUUGAAGAACAAGGCAUUGGGAUGGAUCCCUUGAUUCAGCAUUUCAGAAAAUAAUUCAUUAGCCUUCUCCCAUUUGUCAGCAGUGCACAGUCCGUAAACUAGUGAGCUAAAUACAAUGAUAUCAGGACUCACCCCUUCAUAGAUCAUCUGAUUGAAUUUAAGCAUAGCUUCAUCUACUCUUCCCAUCUUGCAAAAUGCAUCUAUUAUUGCUCCAUAGCUGACUACAUCUGGACUCAACCCUUGCUGCCUCAUUUGGUCAAAUAUAUGCAUUGCCCCAUCUAUCUUACCACCUUUAGCAUAUGCCCAGAGAACUAUGUUAAAGGUACAAUGGUCAGGUGAAAUAUCAUUUCCUGCCAUCAAAUCCAAUAGACCAUGCAUAUCAGAAAGUGCUCCUUUGGUAGCAUACCCAUUAAGCAGAGUGUUAUAUGUAGUUACAUCAGGUUUUGUGCCCUUUUCAAUCAUAGAAUCAAAAAUCUUUCUAGCCUCUGUGCAUCUUCCACUCUUGCAAAGGUAAUCCAUCAGCAAAUUACAAGUGACAAUAUCUGGCUGAUAACCAUGUGCAGACAUUUCUUUGAGCAUUCGAACCACCUCUUUCCCCUGUCCUGAAGAGCAAUAUCCAUGGAUCAGGCAAGUAUAUGUUUGAUUAUUUGGCUUGACACCUUUAUGAACCAUCUGCCGAAGGACACCCUCGGCCCUCUCAACAGCUUGAGCUUUGCAUAGGCCAUCGAUGACUGUGGUGUAGGUCACAACAGUCGGCAAAAUCCCCUGGUUAUCGAUUUCACGAAAUAGGUUGUAAGCUUUGUCCACCUGACCCUCUCUAAAUAAGCCAUUGAUGACAAUGUUGUACGCCACGACAUCUGGUGGGCAUCCACCACCUCCAUCAUCGGCCAUCACGUGGAGCAGCUCAAGUGCCUCCUCACCUCUCUUUUCGUUGCAUAAACCCUUUAGAACUGUGCUGUAUGAAGCUGCACCUGGCGUGCAGCCAAACUCAGGCAUUCGUCGGAGCAAUAUGUCCAUAGCCUCAGACACGCACUUUCUGUCACAGAGACCUUUGAGCAGUUGACUGAUGACUAUGCCAUUCACCCUCCAGCCUGUCUUAAGGAUGAGGCCAAAGGCGGUGAAACCAAGCUCCAGGCGUCCCAUUCGGCAGAAGCAGUUUAUGAGGAUGCUGUAGGUGUGCAGGUCGGGAGCUACCUUGUUGGAGCAAGCACGGGCCAUCCGGUUGAAGAGGGAGGGGACGAGCUCCGAGGAGGAGGAGCCCCUGCGCUGGGCGCGAGAGACGGCGGCGAGGAGCUGAUUGAUGGCGAUCACCGAGGCCGGCCUAGCGUGGUCUAGCAAUUCACCGAACAGCUUGACGGCGUCGUCGAGGCCAAGGUUUCCCGAGCUGACGCGGCCAACGAUGGCGCGCUCCAGCUCCAAGCAGCGGUCGCGCACGCGGCAGGACAUGCCGGCGGGGCACGGCACGGCUAGCGGCCCGGCGAGGAGACGGAUGGGCGGCCCUGCAUCCGCCUCCGGGUCGGGCGUGGCGGCUCGAUCGGCGGGGGCGGAGCAGCGCGUGCUGCGGCGUGGAGUGGGCGUUCUAUGCGUUGGCUGGUUGGGGCGGCGUGGCGCCGGGCGUCAGGUGUUGGAACAAGUCCUGAGCUCCUAGAUUAGAAGGUAGCAGGUGGCGAGCGCCAUUAGUGGUUGGACAUCGAUUGCGGCAUGACCCAGGCGGUUGGGAUGGCAUCUAUCGAUCACGAGUACGUCGGGAUUGGCUUGGUCUUCUAUAACCCGGUAAAGAUGCAUGUAUUUCUUUUAUAUAGAAAUAGCAAUCAACUGAAAACGUUGCCGUUUUGCAGCACCAAAAUUCAUCGAGUCCACUUCGUGUUCACGUGUGAUGUCUUCCUCCGUUUGGAGUUCUGUCAUCAGGUGCCGCCGGGCGGUGGCCGUCCGACGUGACGUGACCAACAGAGGCGGCGAGGAGCAGCAGCAGCACAAGCAGCCAGCCAAGAACGGAAACAUAGUGGGUGGGUAGGAUUGUUUCAAGAUUUGUGUUUAUUUCUUCUUUGCUGAUUUCUUUCGAAGCCCAAGGCCCGGACAUCCAGGCGACCAGGCCAAGCCUGACGCUUAAUUCUUCCGACAGAUAAUCACCUACGCACAUGUGACGCAUCAACUCGUACCGGUCUAACAUAUACACUGUCAACGUAUAUUUCAUAUUGGAUUCAAUAAAACAAAUUAGAUAUUAUAAAUAUUAUUAUUUUUUAUAUAAAUUUGGUUAACCAAAUUUAACUUAGGACAAAUCUAAUACAACAUGUAAAUAAAAAUAGGGGAGUAAUUUUAUACGUUCUUCAGAUAAAUUAGUCUUAAAACAAGCUAUGCAUUGCUUUAGAAUGGCAGUCUAAUUCUUUUGUAGCCACCGUAUUCCACCCCGAGAAAGAGCAGACCAACACAUGCGUGAAACCUCUUAUACCAGAUCCACUUCCAACAACAAACGCUGCAGCCUGCAGGUGUAGUCCUUCCUUUGUAUGCAGGUUUACGGGUAUAUUUCUCCAUCAACUCCCUUUUGUCAGAGCCACAUUGUCCAUAACAAUGAUGUGAUUUUCCAGAUGGCUGUAACCAUGGCCACAGGUGGCGUCGGCGGUUUACGGCGUGAUGGGUUCCGUGGAUUCGGUGUAGCCUGGCCCGUGGGAUACAACAUGUGUGUGAUUGGUUAGCUGGAUGAGCCUUUGAGCCUGGCCCAUGCUGUCCAAAAGGUCUCUCUAGACCUGGCUCCACCCACGCAGAAAAAUUAAGAUAGUGAUUGGUUGGUUGCAUAUCCUCCAACUGAACUUCUAUAGUGCAGUCCAACAUGUUUGGAUGGUUGGGUAGGCCUCGUAGCCACAGGCUUGCGGAGUGCAAAAGGGGCAGUCCAGCCUGCAUUGCGGGAUACAGAUUUCGAUUUCGUUUCCGGCUUGUGUAGGUUGUAUUAGCUCCGCGCGCUCAAUUUUGCAGACCCGCCUUGUGCGGCCCGCGGCUCGUACUGUGCAGGGAACGAAACCCUCCGUCUCGCUAGGGUUACCAUUGUGCAGCCCGCGGCCUGUACUGUGCAGGGAACGAAACCCUCCAUCUCGCUAGGGUUACCACUGCACAGUACUCAUUCGCGCCGUCCGGCCUCGGCCUCCCUCUUCGCUCGCUCUCGCCCUCCGACUUCGCUCUCGCAAACGCACGCCGUCGCCAAGCUAGGGUUUCGCCGCCGCCUCUUCCUCGGCUCUAUGAAGCGUCCCCCCAUCAGGGAAGACUUAAAAGUGUUGCUUUAUCAGUCCCAGGAGACUGAUAACACUUUUAUUACAUCAGAUGGUACAUCACCGUACAACUCUUCGCGGUAAUGGGCAGUGAAGCGCCACUAUCGCGAGGAUCACAACUAAAACCCAUACUACUACACUAACUACGAAGAGGGAAUCAUCAGAGUCUUGCGCCAUGCGGAGCUCCAACGGUGACCUCACCCACAGGCAAGACUGGGUGCAGGACGGAACCCUACUCGACGUCUUCGGGGAUGUAGUCGGGAUCUUCCACUGUAAAAGUAAGAACGGGGUGAGUACAGACGUACUCAGCAAGUCCGAUCACACCCACGGAGGGGGGUAUAACAGAAUUUAAUGCACAGGAUAAUCAAAAGAUAAGGUUAUGGUUCUUUUACGGAAACUCGGUUAUAUGCAGGGGUUCGUUUUAAAAACAUUUUCAAAACAAGCUUUUCAGUACCAAGGAGCACACGGUGUUGACCCACACAGGAUCUAAGUUUAAACUGCUACCGGACUCCCCAUCCGCCAUAGCUCACGGCACAUCUGCCGGACACAUUCCAAACAACUCACACCAGCCCAUCCAUUCCCAGAGAGAAACACUAGUUAUGUGACCACACCGUAACUUGCCCGAUACCAUGGGCACGGCUAUUCGAAUAGAUUUUAUCUCUGCAGAGGUGUGCAACUUUACCCACAGGUGGGGUACCACAGCACGAACACCUUAGUGCCGGUGCAGAUCCCAUCAAAGCCCUCACCCACCUUAGCUAGACCUGGCUAGCCACCACGGGAUCUAUCAAGGGGUCAUUCGACCUAACACCGAGGUUUAACCGGGGCAUAAGUCACACAGAGCUUAUCCCGUCUCCUUGAUCACCCGUUGCUCCCAGCUCUCCUGAUGGCUAUCAGACUAACUAGUGGGGUUAGGCUAAGCCGUUGCCCAUACAACGGUCAAGUGGUUUGCACGACAGGAAGCUAGGUGAGACGACACAUCAACUCGGUCCUUAGGGGUGACAAGAUGGAUAUCUCCCUUUCACGCUCAACCACACAGGUACGAGCACACCAACUGCAACUCACACAGAAAUGCCAUCCAUCUCGUCUGACUUACUUUUCAAAACCACCUUUUAUCCCUUCCCACACGCACACACACUUUCUUUGCAAAACCAAAUGGUCAAGGUAUGGUUAUCACAAGUAAGGUGGCUAUCCUACCAUGUUUUCAGCACGCAAAACCAUGCAAUUUUAUAAAACGGGCCACUGGGUUGUGUUUAUAAAAACUAGGACAGAAACAUGCAUCAAAGGGCGGGAUUGAACUUGCCAUCGUCAAGUCCUUGCGGAAGGUCCUGAUCGAAGCACUGUCCUUCGGGUUCGGGGUCGCAGAACUGGUCCUCGGUUGCUUGGUCGCAGUCGGGAACUUCUUCGUUCACUCCGUGUCCUACGACGCAAACAAAACAGGCAUGCAAUCAAGCGAGAGAACUAAAAGCUUUUAUCGUUGAGCUUGAAUCGAAAAUAAUUUAGUCACGGAGGUAGGGGUAAUAUUUUUGGGUGGUUUCUUAAUGGCAUGGCUAAAACUAUACUAGAAAUGGAGUGGUAAAGUUUUGGGUCAAUCGGAGGUCGUUUCGCACAUAAAAUGAUGAGCUAAAGGGGGUUCGGGUGGUUAAACAGGGCUCCAGGGGUUUAUUCGUAAGUAUCUGGAGGGGGCAAGGGCCUAUUUGCAAAUUCUAGAAAUACGCAGGGCACGCUAAAGGAUGCCAAGUAUAAUUGGGUUUGUGUAAUGGAGGGUUUAUUUUGAAAUAAAGGAAAGAACAGGGCCUUUUCUGCAAAGGAGAGUAAGUAGAGGGGGGUUCCUUUGAGAAAAUACAGGAAAGGGGGGGGUUACGGGCAAAACUGCCCUUCUCCUUCCUCUCCCCCAUACCGAACAGAGGAAGGGGAAGGGGACGCCGGCGCCCGGCUGAUUCCGGCGGCCGGGGGCAUGGCGGCGGCCGGGGUUAGGGUGAGAGGGGGAGGGGGGCGAGGGGAACCGGUCCCCGGCCUCACCUCGGGCCGGGACGGCGCGUGGAGGCGGGGCGACGGAGGCCGACGGCGGCGGGCAGAGUGGCCGGCGGGGCGGCGAGGGGAGCUUGGGAAGGGAGCUGGGGGGUGGUGGCGCGAGUUGUGGAGGUGCCGAGGUGCGGGGGGGUGCUAUUUAUAGGCGGCCGCGGUGGAGGAGCGGGCGAGCGGCUGGUGGCCGGCGGGGUGGCUCCGGGGCGGCCAUUAAUGGCGCCCGGGGUCGCGACGCGGCGUGCGGCAGCGCAGGCGUUGAGGGUGGCGUCGAGCACGUGGGGAGGCGGGGCCGGCGCUGUGCGGUACAGGGCGGCGCGGGCGGCGAGGCCGGGGCGGCAGCGGCGGGCGGCGCGGCGGCCGUGCUUGCGCGUGCGUGCCGUGGCCGUGCGCGUACGCGUGCGCGUGGGUGGCGUGGAUCGCGUGCGCGUGCGGUCCGGCGGCGCGCGCGUGUACGGCGGCGUGCGCGCGAGGGUGGGGCGGCGUGGCCGGGGCCAGAGGCCGGGCGACGCGGCUCGGGAGCUCGGGAGCAGGGGAGGGAGGAAGGAGCAGGAAGGAAGAAAAAGAAAAGGGAGGGAAGGAAGAAAAGGAAAAGGGGAAAAAGGAAAAAGGGAAGGGAAAGUGUGACGCCCUGAAAAUUUCAAAUUUAAACUACGCGUUAAGGUGUCCUGACCGAAAAUGUAUUUGUCGUAAAACCCUGACUCUCUCCGUUUCACCGUCACACUGACGGCCGACGCGAGCCUGACCGCCGUCUCAUCCUGCACCGCUCACGUGCUAGAGUAAUUCGUAAAAACGGUUCAAUUUCAAAACCCUAACCCUAACCGGAUCACUGUUCCGUUCCGCAUCGCUCGAUGGCUUGUCGCUCACGCGCGACCGCCCGCCGCGAUUAGCGCCGGCGCUUCUCGUGCAGCGCGCGAAUCCCGCGCGCGCAUGGCCGACCGGCCGCGGUCGCCGCCGCGACCGGCGCCGACGCGUCCCUCCCCCUCUCUCUCCUUCUCUCCUUUUUCUUUCCCUCUUCCAUUUCUUUUCUUUUCUCUCUUUUUCUUUUCUCUUUCCCUUUCUUCUUUUUCCUUCCUUCUUUUCCCUCUCCUUCCCCUUUCCUUCCCGGUUUCCCCUGCCGCGAGCCCGCACGCCGCCCAGGCCGUGCCGCGCGCACGCGCCCGCCCUGCGUGCUCCGCGUGCCCCGCGUGGCCGCACGCCUCGCCGCGCCGCCCGUCGCCCGCGCCCCCGUCCUGGCCCGCACCUCGCCGCGCCGCACGCGCACGCACGAGCGCUUCCCCGCGCGUGCCGCGCCGCCCGUUGCUGGCGCUCUGCCCGCCGCGCGCGCCGUCACCUCCUGGCCACUGUGGCCGCACAGCACCCGGCCCUCGGCGCCCACGCCGCACGGCGACGACCGCAAGCGGCCGAGCGCCAUUGAUGGCGCCCCGCACCGCCCGCCGGCCGCCACCGCCCCAUUUCUCCUCCGCCUCACCGCCCUCUCCCCUAUAAAUAGGCCCCCGGCACCCCCGGCACCCUCACAACCCACCACGCCGCCUAACCGCCCGCCUCCCCCACCUCCGGCGCCGCCCCGCCGUGCCCUGCGACCGCCGCCUCCCUCUUCCGUCGGCCGGCCUCCACGCUCCACCUCAGCCCGAGGUGAGGCCGGGGAUGGGAUCCCCACGCGCCCCUCUCCCUUUUCCCCCACCCCCGGACCGCCGCCGUGCCCUGGCCGGCCGGAUCGGGCCGCCGCCGGCGCCCUGCCUCCCCCUCCUCUGUUUUGCACGGGAGAGGAGGAAGAAGGGGCAUUUUGCCCACAGCCCCCUCCUUUUCCCCCUUUUCCCAAGAAGCCCCCCCCCCUCUAGGAGCACCCUAUCCACUUCCUUUUUGUAAAAGAAACCUCGCGCGUUCGUUAUUUCAAUUUGAGCCCUCGAUACAUAAACCUAGUUAUACUCGACGCAUUUUACCAUGCUCAGGGUAUUUCUAGGAUUCGUAAAUAGAUCCUUACUCUUUCCGAACAUUUACAAACAAGCCCCUGGACCCCCGCUUAACCCCUAAAACCACCUUUAGCGCGUCAUUUUAUGUGCGAAACGACCUCCGAUCGACCCGAAACUUCACCACGCCCUUUCUAGUAUAGUUUUAGUCAUGCCAUUAAGAAACCACCCAAAGAUAUCACCCCUAACUCCGUAACUAAAUUAUUUCCGAUUCAAGCCCAACGAUAAAAGCUUUUAGUUCUUUCGCUUGAUUGUAUGUCUGUUUGUUUGCGUCGUAGGGCACGGAGUGAACGAAGAAAUUCCCGACUGCGACCAAGCAACCGAGGACCAGUUCUGCGACCUCGAACCCGAGGGACAGUGCGUCGAUCAGGACCUCCCGCAAGGGUUUGAUGAUGGCAAGUUCAAUUCCGCCCUUUGAUGCAUAUUUUUGUCCUAGUUUUUAUAAACACAACCCAGUGGCCUGUUUUAUAAAAUUGCAUGGUUUUGCGUGCCGUAAACAUGGUAGGAUAGCCACCCUUGUUGUGAUAACCAUACCUUGAACACCUGAUUUUAUAAAGAAAAUGCGUGUGUGUGGGAAGGGAUAAAAUGUGGUUUUGAAAAGUGAGUCAGACGGGAUGGAUGGCAUUUCUGUGUGAAUUGCCGUUGGUGUGCUCGUACCUGUGUGGUUGAGCGUGAAAGGGAGAUAUCCAUCUUGUCACCCCUAAGGACCGAGUUGAUGUGUCGUCUCACCUAGCUUCCUGUCGUGCAAACCACUUGACCGUUGUAUGGGCAACAGCUUAGCCUAACCCCACUAGUUAGUCUGAUAGCCAUCAGGAGAGCUGGGAGCAACGGGUGAUCAAGGAGACGGGAUAAGCUCUGUGUGACUUAUGCCCCGGUUAAACCUCGGUGUUAGGUCGAAUGACCCCUUGAUAGAUCCCGUGGUGGCUAGCCAGAUCUAGCUAAGGUGGGUAAGGGCUUCGAUGGGAUCUGCACCGGCACUAAGGUGUUCGUGCUGUGGUACCCCACCUGUGGGUAAAGUUGCACACCUCUGCAGAGUUAAAAUAUAUUCGAAUAGCCGUGCCCACGGUACUGGGCAAGUUACGGUGUGGUCACAUAACUAGUGUUUUUCUCUGGGAUGGAUGGGCGGGCGUGAGUUGUUUGGAAAGUGUCCGGCAGAUGUGCUGUGUGCUACGACGGAGGGGGAGUCUGGUAGCGAUUUAAAACGUGGAUCCUGUGUGGAUCCACAUCAUGUGUUCUGUGAUACUUGAAAACUUAUUUUGAAAGUGUUUUCCAAAACGAACCCUUGCAUAUAACCGAGCUUUCCGUAAAUAAACCCUAACUCCAUCCUUGAAUAUUUCCUGUGCAUUUAAUUCUGUUGUACCCCCCCCUCCGUGGGUGUGAUUGGACUUGCUGAGUACGUUUGUACUCACCCCGUUCUUACUUUACAGUGGAAGAUCCCGACUACAUCCCCGAGGACGUCGAGUAGGGUCCUGUCCUGCACCCAGUCUUGCCUGUGGGUGAGGUCGCCAUUGGAGCUCCGCAUGGCGCAAGACUCUGAUGAUCCCCUUUUCGUAGCUAGUGUAGUAGUAUGGGUUUUUGUUGUAAUCCUCGCGAUAGUGGCGCUUCACUGCCCAUUACCGCGGAGAGUUGUACGGUGAUGUACCAUCUGAUGUAAUAAAAGUGUUAUCAGCCUCCUGGGACUGAUAAAGUAAUACUUUUAAGUCUUCCCUGAUGAGGGGUACGCUUCAGGUGGUAUCAGAGCCGUAGGCUGGCCGUAGGAUGAGACCCUAGGAGCGAGACCCCUUUUCAGGCCCUAGAACUUGUCCUGAUUUAGAAAUUUUCUGCACAAACACUCACCGCUGGUCUUUGCCUUGUUCCAGAUGGCUGGCAAUGGAUGGGUUAAUGGAAUCUGCCACGCAGAGCCCGGCCUUCCCAAGCUACUAUUGCUCAGCCUGGAACGCGUUGGGGUUAUGGAACCACCGGAGUAUGCCUACCGUGAGUACAUCGCCGGAGGCACUCUUCGGUGCGACAUGAUGGUUUUUGUGGAGAGAAGCACUCGCUAUCCUGAUGUGGACCCUUGGUUCAUCUCCACCGCUGGUUUCCGCUUCCCCGACACCUAUCGAAAGACCGCUCGUAAAGCCCUGUGACGGCUACGUGUGCUUUACAGGCACCACCUUCAGCGGACCCCUAUGGGAUUUUUCCCACCCGCUGAGGGAAGAGGACGCACCUGGAUUACCCGAAUGAGGAGACUUGGACGAGAAGAAGAAGACUUAGAAGACACGGUCUCCCACCUGUCAAUCUACCUUACUGGCUUGGACGCACUCUACAGCGAACAGGCGGCGCAACUGAAGCAGCUAAUCCAUGGGAGCCGCAAGCGCCGAGUAUUCCCUAGCCGCCCUCCAAGCCCAGAUGCAAGAAUACGAGAACCGCAACGGAAUAGGUGGAUGGAUAGAGGAAGAAGAAGAAGAACCCAUGGAAACCCAUUGGGAUAAGGGAACUCAGACCGAAAACGAGAUGGAUCGGUUCCUUCCAAUAAAGAAGCGCUCUAUCAGGACCGAGGAAGAAUCCCCAUGAUAGGAUUAGCACCCCUAGCUAAAACCCUAUCCUAAUGACCACGUAUCCAUGAAAACUGUACCACCCUUGUUGUAAUAAUAAAUAUCAUCUACUCCCUUUUGCACCUAUACCAGGUUGUUUACCCUGUUUCUGUUUCAGAUGGCUGAGGAAGGAUGGACCCAGGGCAAUUGCCAAGCUGCACCUGGAUUCCCCAGCCUCUUGAUCAACACCCUAGAAGGCCUUGGCGUUACGGAGCGCCCAAGGUACUACAGCCGAGAGUAUGAGCACCAUGUUACCCUCCGCUGCAGGGUGAUCCUGGUCAUCGCCAGGAGCAACCGCUACCCCGACAUCCAGCCUUGGCGAGCGACCGCCACGGGGUUUAGACACCAAGACACCUACCCCUUGGCCAUCAGAAAAACACUCCGUUAUCUGUGCCGGAUUUUUGAAGAACACCUCGCCCCCACGCCAGCCAAGUUCUUCCCGCCGGCCAUCAGAACCCCAGUCUGGGAAGCACGCAUGAGGAACCUGUAACGACGUCGCCACGAGGAAGGCCCCCUAUACCAAGUGGCUACUUACCUAGCCGCCCUGGACCAACUCUUUGAUGAGCAAGCCAACCUCCUAAGGGAGCAGACCCAUCGAGCCGAGCAAGCAGAGCUCGCAGUGAGGAUACAGCAGAUCCGAGCCGCCCACGCUGAGGCGAGAGCCACAGCCGCGGUCAGUAGCGAAGCAGUCGCCCAAGAGAGCCUCAGGCAGGCCCGAGACCGGCGUAUGCAAGAUUGGACCCAAAGCGGAACACCAGUCCCGGCAAUUGGGGAAGACCAUGUUUUACUCGGAACACCAGUCAUAGGGUGGGGAUCACUCUUUGGGAGCACACGAGCCCCACCCGAGAACCCUGAAAGUUCUGCUGCCGCCGGCGAAGGGGAUGCGGCAACGCAACCUCUGGCUGAUGGGAACCCAGAGGACGGCGAGCGAGGACCUCUCACACUCCCCACCACGGAAGAAGGCGCACUUCGCGAGUAGAGUGACCGACGCCGUCCCAGUGAUGCCCCCCCCCAGCCUUUCGGUUUACGACGUGCCCUUAGACAAGACCCUGGCCGAGUAGCACGAGACCUAGUCCUACCCCCAAGUUGUACCCCCCCUUGCAGUAAUAAAAUGAUUUGUGCUUGUUGUUUGUAAUGCUGUGUGCUGGUUGUUGUGUACUACUUGUUCAUAUGAGUACCGGCAGAAGGUAGAUUUUGCCUAAUAUACGAAUUAAACAACUUAACAUCACAUAAUCGUGACCCAAAUUUACUCAAUCAACAGGUGACCCCACGGAACGUCGCGAGGGCCUCCCGUAGCCGGAACCCCGCAACCACUGGUGCCGGAGCACAGCCUGUUGAACAAGAUCUUCCCCAAGGAGAACAAGAAGUAAGCCAGAACCGAGAGGGAAGUCAAGAAGGAGAACAACUACCACCACCCCCACCCCUCGGAAACUUGGCGCAGAUAAUCCAUAACCAGACCCUCAUUCUGGAAACACUGGCGAAUGCCCUCAUUAACCGGCAGCCACGAGGGCAGAAUAUGAACGACAAGCUGACGGCCUUUCUAAGGACCAAGCCACCCACUUUUGCCGGGUCUUGCAACCCGUUGGAUGCAGACGACUGGUUGCGAGUGAUUCAGAGGAAGCUCGAACCAUUCGAAUGCCAGGACCGGGACAAAGUUCUUUUAGCAGCCCACCAGCUCACCGGAACGGCAUUAUCCUGGUGGGAAAACUAUUGUGCCGCAGCCGAAGAUGCCUCUACCAUCACCUGGGGAGAAUUCGUAUGGGAAUUCCGCCACUAUCACAUUCCUUCGGCCACCAUGAAGCGCAAGGCGGAUGAAUUCCGCGCACUACAAUAAGGAAGCAUGACGGUGGAAGAAUACACCCACCGGUUUAUAGAAUUGGCCCGAUAUGCGCCGGAAGAGGUGAAUGACGACGAUAAAAAGCAAGACAUGUUCAAGAAGGGAUUAAGCCCAGAACUCCGGACUUUACUUACCCCCCAGAUCUAUCCGGACUUCAACACUCUGAUGAACAAAGCUAUCCUCACGGAAAGGGCCAAAGCCGAAGAGAGAAAGGAUAAUAAACGCAAAUUCCUGGAAAGUAAGGACCGCCAAUAGGACCGCUUCCAGAAGCCGAGGAACUCCAACUACACCGCACCAAGAUCCCAGGCCCCAAUGCAGUAUAGGACUCAGUCCCAAGUGACGGGAUCACGAGCCUCUGAAGCACAGCCUAAGAGCCAGAAUACCAUAAGGGCCCCGCAGAGCAACACCAGCCUGGCCGCCUCCGACAACAACAAUGUUAGGGCCUGUUUCAACUGCCGUGAGACGGGGCACUUCAUCGCCAAUUGCCCCUACGCCAAGAAUAAGCCGGCAAUGUCGGCCUUCUCCAACACGGUGAAUGGGCUCAGACCAGCCCUGACCGGUGCCAACCGAGUGCCCGUCCGCAACAACGAUGGCAGCCAGCAGGUGAAGUAGCAAUCAUUUGGACGAGCCCGCGUCAAUCACAUCGACGCGCAGGAGGCUCAAGAAGCUCAGGGCGUAGUGCUCGGUGAGUAUCUAGUAAACUCAGCUCUGGCAACGGUACUAUUUGAUUCUAGAGCAUCGCACUCGUUUAUAUCCUCGAGCUAUGUGGAGAAACACAAAAUACCUACAGUACUACUAAAAACACCCCUAUUAACCCGGACGCCUGGAGGCGACAUCAAUUGUCAAUUAGGUUGUCCACGGGUAAGGAUCAAUUUAAGUGGGGUAGACUUUCUAGCGGAUUUGGUAGUACUUAAAGCUGGGGGAAUAGACGUGAUCCUUGGGAUGGACUGGUUAAGCCGACACAAUGGUCUCAUAGGCUGUACCGACAAAGUGGUACACCUAACAAACCACGAAGGAGUACAAGUGAUCUGCCAUACCCGGGAUAGUAAGUUUGACCCAAUGGUAUUUAGCAUGGAAGCCAAGCCCUUAGAAGGAGUCCCGGUAGUAAACGAAUACCCAGAUGUAUUCCCCGAAGAGCUUCCCGGUAUGCCGCCGGACAGGGAUAUAGAGUUCGUCAUAGACCUUAUCCCCGGAACAUCCCCUAUAGCCAAGAGACCCUAUAGGAUGGCGACCUCUGAGUUAACAGAAUUAAAGAAGCAACUAGAAGAACUGCAACGAAUUGGCUUUAUUAGACCAAGCUCGUCGCCGUGGGGAGCCCCAGUGCUGUUUGUCAAGAAGAAAGAUGGGAGUAUGAGGUUGUGCGUGGACUACCGAGCACUGAAUGAGGUUACCAUUAAGAAUAAGUACCCCCUCCCCAGGAUUGAUGACUUGUUCGAUCAGCUAAAAGGAGCCAAGUACUUUUCCAAGAUUGAUCUAAGGUCGGGAUAUUUCUAGCUCAGAAUUAGAGAAAGUGACAUCCCUAAAACAGCUUUUGUCACCCGCUACGGGCAGUUUGAGUUCACUGUAAUGUCCUUCGGACUAACCAAUGCCCCUGCCUAUUUUAUGAACCUCAUGAAUAAGGUAUUCAUGGACGAGCUAGAUAAGUUUGUCGUAGUCUUUAUCGACGACAUACUCAUCUACUCCAAGAGUGUUCAGGAACACGAGCAACAUCUGCGGGUAGUUCUGGAAAAGCUAAGGAUACAUAAGCUAUAUGCCAAAUUUAGCAAGUGUGAAUUCUGGCUGGAGAGAGUAGCUUUCCUUGGUCACAUCCUGACUGCGGAAGGCGUGGCAGUGGACCCAGAGAAGGUCGAAGCCAUAUCCAAUUGGCAGCAACCGACUAACGUUAGUGAAGUCAGAAGUUUUCUGGGAAUAGCCGGGUACUAUCGAAGAUUUAUUGAGGGAUUCUCUAAGAUAGCCCGACCCAUGACGGAACUUCUUAAGAAAGAGAAAAAGUUUGCUUGGACGGAAUCCUGUGAGAAAUGUUUUCAAGAACUGAAGCGAAGGUUGACAACCGCCCCAGUGCUGACCCUGCCGGAUAUUCAUCGAGACUUUGUCAUUUAUUGUGAUGCAUCCCGACAAGGAUUAGGGUGUGUGCUGAUGCAAGGCGGGAAAGUCGUUGCAUAUGCUUCCCGCCAACUCAGGACUCAUGAGCUGAAUUAUCCGACCCAUGAUUUGGAAUUAGCAGCCGUGGUGCAUGCCCUUAAGAUUUGGAGACACUACUUAAUUGGAAAUAAGUGCGAGGUUUACACCGAUCACAAGAGUCUGAAGUAUAUCUUCACCCAGCCGGAUUUAAACUUAAGGCAAAGAAGAUGGUUGGAGUUGGUCAAGGACUACGACUUGGAAAUUCUUUAUCACCCCGGGAAAGCAAACGUAGUAGCCGAUGCCUUAAGUCGGAAAAGCUAUGGACCCGAGGGUGACCAUCUACGCGAGGAAAUGGCACGAUUAAAUGUGCACCUGAUUCCUCGAGGUUCCAGUCAAGUACUAAACGUCCAAUCGACGCUAGAGGAUAGAAUUAGAGGAGCCCAAAGCUCAGAUCAGGAGUUGAUGAAAAUCUGCAAACAAACCGGAGAAAACAAAGCGCCAGGUUUCAGGGUGGACGAUAAGGGAACCUUAUGGUACGAGAAUAGGAUUUGUGUACCCCAGAAUGGGGAUUUCCGGCAAUUGAUCAUGGAUGAAGCCCAUAACUCGGCCUACUCCAUCCACCCAGGAUCCACCAAAAUGUAUAUGGACAUAAGGCAAAAAUAUUGGUGGAAUGGGAUGAAGGCGGAUAUCGCAAGAUUCGUGGCUCAUUGUGAUACUUGCCAAAGGAUUAAAGCCGAACAUCAGAAACCGGCAGGAUUAUUGCAACCCUUGCCUAUCCCGGUGUGGAAAUGGGAUGAGAUAGGGAUGGACUUUGUGGUGGGUCUACCUAAAACACAAAAGGGACACGAUUCCAUAUGGGUAAUAGUGGAUCGACUCACUAAAUCGGCUCAUUUUAUACCCGUACGAACCACUUAUGGUGGAGAAAAGCUGGCAAAGCUUUAUGUAGAAAACAUAGUAAAGUUACAUGGGGUGCCUAGCCGAAUUGUCUCAGAUAGAGGAACCCAAUUCACCUCUAGGUUUUGGAGGAGCUUGCAUCAAGCCAUGGGCACCAAGUUAGAUUUUAGCUCCGCAUAUCACCCACAGACGGAUGGUCAAACCGAAAGGGUGAAUCAGAUUGUGGAAGACAUGUUGAGAGCAUGUGUCCUGACCUACGGAAAUGACUGGGAGCAGAGUCUGCCUUAUGCAGAAUUCUCGUACAACAAUAGUUACCAAGCCAGUUUGGGCAUGUCGCCAUUCGAGGUCCUCUAUGGGAGAAAGUGCAAAACUCCCUUGAUGUGGUCGGAAGUUGGAGAACGUGCACUAGUAGGGCCCGCGAGAAAUUGAAAGCGGCUCAGUCCCGACAAAAGAGUUACGCAGACAGGAAAAGGCGAGAAAUAAGUUUCCACCCAGGAGAUUUUGUUUAUCUCAAAGUCUCGCCCAUCCGAGGAACGCGAAGGUUUCAAGUGCAAGGAAAAUUGGCCCCUCGAUACAUUGGAUCGUAUCGAGUUCUGAAGAGAGUCGGAGCAGUAGCGUACCAACUGGAGUUACCAGAAGAAAUGUCGGAUAUACACCCAGUAUUUCAUGUCACGCAAUUAAGAAGGUGUUUGAGAGUACUCGAGGGAGAACAUGUGCCAGUGGAAACAAUAGACCUGCAGCCGGAUCUGCGAUACCAGGAGGUACCGGUCAAAAUUCUAGACACUGUCACUAGAAGGACAAGAAACUCCGAAGUACGGAUAUGCCGGGUUCAAUGGAGCAGACAUGGAGUAGAAGAAGCGACAUGGGAACGCGAAGAGGCCCUAAAGAAGGAAUUUCCCCAUCUAUUUAGGAACCAGCCGAAUCUCGAGGACGAGAUUCAUUUAAGUGGGGUAGGUUUGUGACGCCCUGAAAAUUUCAAAUUUAAACUACGCGUUAAGGUGUCCUGACCGAAAAUGUAUUUGUCGUAAAACCCUGACUCUCUCCGUUUCACCGUCACACUGACGGCCGACGCGAGCCUGACCGCCGUCUCAUCCUGCACCGCUCACGUGCUAGAGUAAUUCGUAAAAACGGUUCAAUUUCAAAACCCUAACCCUAACCGGAUCACUGUUCCGUUCCGCAUCGCUCGAUGGCUUGUCGCUCACGCGCGACCGCCCGCCGCGAUUAGUGCCGGCGCUUCUCGUGCAGCGCGCGAAUCCCGCGCGCGCAUGGCCGACCGGCCGCGGUCGCCGCCGCGACCGGCGCCGACGCGUCCCUCCCCCUCUCUCUCCUUCUCUCCUUUUUCUUUCCCUCCACGCUCCACCUCAGCCCGAGGUGAGGCCGGGGAUGGGAUCCCCACGCGCCCCUCUCCCUUUUCCCCCACCCCCGGACCGCCGCCGUGCCCUGGCCGGCCGGAUCGGGCCGCCGCCGGCGCCCUGCCUCCCCCCUCCUCUGUUUUGCACGGGGGAGGAGGAAGAAGGGGCAUUUUGCCCACAGCCCCCUCCUUUUCCCCCUUUUCCCAAGAAGCCCCCCCCCUCUAGGAGCACCCUAUCCACUUCCUUUUUGUAAAAGAAACCUCGCGCGUUCGUUAUUUCAAUUUGAGCCCUCGAUACAUAAACCUAGUUAUACUCGACACAUUUUACCAUGCUCAGGGUAUUUCUAGGAUUCGUAAAUAGGUCCUUACUCUUUCCGAACAUUUACAAACAAGCCCCUGGACCCCCCGCUUAACCCCUGAAACCACCUUUAGCGCGUCAUUUUAUGUGCGAAAUGACCUCCGAUCGACCCGAAACUUCACCACGCCCUUUCUAGUAUAGUUUUAGUCAUGCCAUUAAGAAACCACCCAAAGAUAUCACCCCUAACUCCGUAACUAAAUUAUUUCCGAUUCAAGCCCAACGAUAAAAGCUUUUAGUUCUUUCGCUUGAUUGUAUGUCUGUUUGUUUGCGUCGUAGGGCACGGAGUGAACGAAGAAAUUCCCGACUGCGACCAAGCAACCGAGGACCAGUUCUGCGACCUCGAACCCGAGGGACAGUGCGUCGAUCAGGACCUCCCGCAAGGGUUUGAUGAUGGCAAGUUCAAUUCCGCCCUUUGAUGCAUAUUUUUGUCCUAGUUUUUAUAAACACAACCCAGUGGCCUGUUUUAUAAAAUUGCAUGGUUUUGCGUGCCGUAAACAUGGUAGGAUAGCCACCCUUGUUGUGAUAACCAUACCUUGAACACCUGAUUUUAUAAAGAAAAUGCGUGUGUGUGGGAAGGGAUAAAAUGUGGUUUUGAAAAGUGAGUCAGACGGGAUGGAUGGCAUUUCUGUGUGAAUUGCCGUUGGUGUGCUCGUACCUGUGUGGUUGAGCGUGAAAGGGAGAUAUCCAUCUUGUCACCCCUAAGGACCGAGUUGAUGUGUCGUCUCACCUAGCUUCCUGUCGUGCAAACCACUUGACCGUUGUAUGGGCAACGGCUUAGCCUAACCCCACUAGUUAGUCUGAUAGCCAUCAGGAGAGCUGGGAGCAACGGGUGAUCAAGGAGACGGGAUAAGCUCUGUGUGACUUAUGCCCCGGUUAAACCUCGGUGUUAGGUCGAAUGACCCCUUGAUAGAUCCCGUGGUGGCUAGCCAGAUCUAGCUAAGGUGGGUAAGGGCUUCGAUGGGAUCUGCACCGGCACUAAGGUGUUCGUGCUGUGGUACCCCACCUGUGGGUAAAGUUGCACACCUCUGCAGAGUUAAAAUAUAUUCGAAUAGCCGUGCCCACGGUACUGGGCAAGUUACGGUGUGGUCACAUAACUAGUGUUUUUCUCUGGGAUGGAUGGGCGGGCGUGAGUUGUUUGGAAAGUGUCCGGCAGAUGUGCUGUGUGCUACGGCGGACGGGGAGUCUGGUAGCGAUUUAAAACGUGGAUCCUGUGUGUAUCCACAUCAUGUGUUCUUUGAUAGUUGAAAACUUAUUUUGAAAGUGUUUUCCAAAACGAACCCUUGCAUAUAACCGAGCUUUCCGUAAAUAAACCCUAACUCCAUCCUUGAAUAUUUCCUGUGCAUUUAAUUCUGUUGUACCCCCCCUCCGUGGGUGUGAUUGGACAUGCUGACUACGUUUGUACUCACCCCGUUCUUACUUUACAGUGGAAGAUCCCGACUACAUCCCCGAGGACAUCGAGUAGGGUCCCGUCCUGCACCCAGUCUUGCCUGUGGGUGAGGUCGCCGUUGGAGCUCCGCAUGGCGCAAGACUCUGAUGAUCCCCUUUUCGUAGCUAGUGUAGUAGUAUGGGUUUUUGUUGUAAUCCUCGCGAUAGUGGCGAUUCACUGCCCAUUACCGCGGAGAGUUGUACGGUGAUGUACCAUCUGAUGUAAUAAAAGUGUUAUCAGCCUCCUGGGACUGAUAAAGUAACACUUUUAAGUCUUCCCUGAUGAGGGGGACGCUUCAGAAAGAAAAGAGAGGGGAAAAAAAGAAAAGGAAAAGUAAAGAAGGAAAAAAUUAGUGCGCGUCGGCGGUAUUCGCGGCGGCGACCGUGCGGCGAAAUUCACGGUGGCGACCGCGGCUGGUUAGCCCCGCGUGCGCUGCGUUCGCGCGCUGCGCGAAGAGAAAAAGGUGACGUGAUCGUGAUUGGAUUCGGGUGUCGGCCUCGGCUCCCGGGGAGUUAGGGUUUCGACAAAAUGGUGCUCGAAAGCUAAAAUUUUAGCGUGUAAUUUAUGGGUAAUUUUUUUCGGGAUGUCACAAACCUACCCCACUUAAAAAUGAAUCUCGUCCCCGAGAUUCGACUGGCUACUAAAUAGAUGGGGAAAUUCCUUCUUUAGCGCAUCUUCGCGUUCCCAUGUCGCUUCUUCUACUCCAUGUCUGCUCCACUGAACUCUGCAAAUCCGUACUUCGGAGUUCCUUGUCCUUCUAGUGACUGUGUCCAGAAUUUUGACUGGUACUUUCUGGUAUCGCAGAUCCGGUUGCAGGUCUAUUGUCUCCGCUGGCACGUGUUCACCUUCGGGUACUCUCAAGCAUCUUCUUAAUUGCGAGACAUGAAAUACUGGGUGUAUAUCAGACAUUUCUUCUGGUAACUCCAGUCGGUACGCUACUGCUCCGACUCUCUUCAGGACUCGAUACGGUCCAAUAUAUCGAGGGGCCAAUUUUCCUUGUACUUGAAACCUUCGCGUUCCUUGAAUGGGUGAGACCUUGAGAUAGACAAAGUCGCCUGGGUUGAAACUUAUUUCUCGCCUCUUCUUGUCUGCGUAGCUCUUUUGUCGCGACUGUGCUGCUUUCAAUUUCUCACGGAUCUCAGCUACUUUUUCUUCCGCUUCUUUUAUGAGUGCGGGUCCUACUAGGGCACAUUCCCCAACUUCUGACCACAUCAGGGGAGUUUUGCACUUCCUUCCAUAGAGGGCUUCGAACGGCGACAUGCCCAAGCUGGCUUGAUAACUAUUAUUGUAUGAGAAUUCCGCAUAAGGCAGACUCUGCUCCCAGUCCUUCCCGUAGGUCAGGACACAUGCUCUCAGCAUAUCUUCCAUAAUCUGGUUUACCCUCUCGGUCUGACCAUCCAUCUGUGGAUGGUAUGCGGAGCUGAAAUCUAACUUGGUACCCAUGGCUUGAUGCAAGCUUUUCCAGAACCUAGAGGUAAAUUGGGUCCCUCUAUCUGAGACAAUCCUGCUAGGUACUCCGUGCAGCUUUACUAUAUUCUCCACAUAGAGUUUUGCCAGUUUUUCUCCUCCGUAGUUAGUUCGUACGGGUAUGAAAUGUGCCGAUUUAGUAAGUCGAUCCACUACUACCCAUAUGGAAUCGUGUCCCUUCUGUGUUUUAGGUAGACCCACUACAAAGUCCAUUCCUAUCUCCUCCCAUUUCCACAUAGGGAUAGGCAAGGGUUGCAAUAAUCCUGCCGGCUUUUGAUGUUCGGCCUUGAUCCUUUGGCAGGUAUCACAAUGAGCUACAAAUCUUGCAAUAUCCACCUUCAUUCCAUUCCACCAAUAUUUUUGCCUUAUGUCCAUAUACAUUUUGGUGGAUCCUGGGUGGAUGGAGUAGGCCGAGUUAUGGGCUUCGUCCAUGAUUAUCCGCCUGAAGUCUCCGUUCUGGGGUACACAAAUCCUAUCCUCGUACCAUAACGUUCCCUUAUCAUCUACUCUGAAACCCGGUGCUUUGUUUUCUCCAGUUUGUUUGCGAAUCUUUACUAACUCUUGAUCCGAUCCUUGAGCCUCUCUGAUCCUAUCCUCUAAUGUUGAUCGGACGUUCAGCACCUGACUGGAGCCUCUAGGGAUAACAUGCACAUUUAAUCGUGCCAUUUCCUCGCGUAGAUGGUCAUCCUUGGGUCCAUAGGUUUUCCGGCUUAAGGCGUCGGCUACCACGUUCGCCUUUCCGGGGUGAUACUGAAUUUCCAAAUUAUAGUCCUUGACCAACUCCAACCAUCUCCUUUGCCUUAGGUUUAAAUCCGGCUGGGUGAAGAUAUACUUCAGGCUCUUGUGGUCGGUGUAAACCUCACACUUAUUUCCAAUCAGGUAAUGUCUCCAAAUCUUAAGGGCAUGCACUACGGCUGCUAAUUCCAAAUCAUGGGUCGGAUAAUUCUGCUCAUGAAUCCUGAGUUGGCGGGAAGCAUAUGCAACGACUUUCCCGUUCUGCAUCAGUACACACCCUAAUCCUUGUCGGGAUGCAUCACAAUAAAUGACAAAGUCCCGAUGAAUGUCCGGUAGGGUCAGCACUAGGGCGGUUGUCAACCUUUGCUUCAAUUCUUGAACACUUAUUUCGCAAUUUUCCGUCCAGGCGAACUUCUUCUCCUUCUUAAGAAGUUCCGUCAUGGGUCGGGCUAUCUUAGAGAAUCCCCCAAUAAACCUCCGAUAGUACCCGGCCAGUCCAAGAAAACUUCUGAUUUCGCUAACGUUGGUCGGCCGCUGCCAGUUGGAGACCGCUUCGACCUUCUCCGGGUCCACUGCUACGCCUUCAGCGGUCAGGAUGUGACCAAGGAAAGCUACCCUCUCUAGCCAGAAUUCACACUUGCUAAAUUUGGCAUAUAGUUUAUGCAUCCUUAGCUUUUCCAACACUACCCGCAGAUGUUGCUCAUGUUCCUGAACACUCUUGGAGUAGAUAAGUAUGUCGUCGAUAAAGACUACGACAAACUUAUCCAGCUCGUCCAUGAAUACUUUGUUCAUAAGAUUCAUAAAAUAGGCAGGGGCAUUGGUUAGUCCGAAGGACAUUACGGUGAACUCAAACUGCCCGUAGCGGGUGACAAAAGCUGUCUUAGGGAUGUCACUUUCUUUAAUUUUGAGCUGGAAAUAUCCCGACCUUAGGUCGAUCUUGGAAAAGUAUUUGGCUCCUUUUAGCUGAUCGAACAGGUCAUCAAUCCUGGGGAGGGGGUACUUAUUCUUAAUGGUAACCUCGUUCAGCGCUCGGUAGUCUACACACAGCCUCAUACUCCCAUCUUUCUUCUUGACAAACAGCACUGGGGCUCCCCAUGGCGACGAGCUUGGUCUAAUGAAGCCAAUUCGUUGCAGUUCUUCUAGUUGCUUCUUUAAUUCUGUUAACUCAGAGGCUGCCAUCCUAUAGGGUCUCUUGGCUAUCGGAGAGGUUCCGGGGAUAAGGUCUAUGAUGAACUCUAUAUCCCUGUCCGGCGGCAUACCGGGAAGCUCCUAGGGGAAUACAUUUGGGUAUUCGUUUACUACCGGGACUCCUUCUAAGGGCUUGGCUUCCAUGCUAAAUACCAUUGGGUCAAACUUACUAUCUCGGGUACGGCAGAUCACUUGUACUCCUUCGUGGUUUGUUAGGUGUACCACUUUGUCAGUACAGCCUAUGAGACCAUUGUGCCGGCUUAACCAGUCCAUUCCAAGGAUCACGUCUAUUCCCCCAGACUUAAGUACUACCAAAUCUGCUAGAAAGUCUACCCCACUUAAAUUGAUCCUUACCCGUGGACAUCCUAAUUGACAAUUGAUGUCGCCUCCAGGCGUCCGGGUUAAUAGGGGGGUUUUUAGUAGUACUGUAGGUAUUUUGUGUUUCUCCACAUAGCUCGAGGAUAUAAAUGAGUGCGAUGCUCCAGAAUCAAAUAGUACUGUUGCCAGAGCUGAGUUGACUAGGUACUCACCGAGCACUACGCCCUGGGCUUCCUGAGCCUCCUGCGCGUCGAUGUGAUUGACGCGGGCUCCUCCAAACGAUUGCUGCUUCACCUGCUGGUUGCUGUCGUUAUUGCGGACGGGCACUCGGUUGGCACCGGUCAGAGCUGGUCUGGGCCCAUUCACUGUGUUGGAGAAGGCCGACGUUGCCGGCUUAUUCUUGGCGUAGGGGCAAUUGGCGAUGAAGUGCCCUGUCUUACGGCAGUUGAAACAGGCCCUAACAUUGUUGUUGUCGGAGGCGGCCAGGCUUGUGUUGCUCUGCGGGGCCCUCAUGGUAUUCUGACUCUUAGGCUGUGCUUCAGAGGCUCGUGAUCCUGUCACUUGGGACUGAGUCCUAUAUUGCAUUGGGGCCUGGGAUCUUGGUGCAGUGUAGUUGGAGUUCCUCGACUUUUGGAAGCGGUCCUGCUGGCGAGCCUUACUUUCCAGGAAUUUGCGUUUAUUGUCCUUUUUCUCCUCGGCUUUGGCCCUUUCUGUGAGGAUAGCCUUGUUCAUCAGGGUGUUGAAGUCCGGAUAGAUCUGUGGGGUAAGCAAGGUCCGGAGUUCUGGGCUUAAUCCCUUAUUGAACAUGUCCUGCUUUUUAUCGUCGUCGUUCACUUCUUCCGGCGCAUAUCGGGCCAAUUCUAUGAACCGGUGGGUGUAUUCUUCCACCGUCAUACUUCCUUGUUGUAGUGCGCGGAAUUCAUCCGCCUUGCGCUUCAUGGUUGCCGAAGGAAUGUGAUAGCGGCGGAACUCCCUUACGAAUUCUCCCCAGGUGAUGGUAGCAGCAUCUUCGGCUGCGGCACUAUAGUUUUCCCACCAGGAUAAUGCUGUCCCGGUGAGCUGGUGGGCUGCCAGAAGGACUUUGUCCCGAUCCUGGCAUUCGAAUGGUUCGAGCUUCCUCUGAAUCACUCGCAACCAGUCGUCAGCAUCCAACGGGUUGCAGGAUCCGGGAAAGGUGGGUGGCUUGGUCCUUAGAAAGGCCGUCAGCUUGUCGUUCAUAUUCUGCCCUCGUGGCUGCCGGUUAAUGAGGGCAUUCGCCAGUGUCUCUAGAAUGAGGGUCUGGUUAUGGAUUAUCUACGCCAGGUCUCCGAGGGGUGGGGGUGGUGGUAGUUGCUCUCCUUCUUGACUUCCUCCUCGGUUCUGGCUUACUUCUUGUUCUCCUUGGGGAAGAUCUUGUUCAACGGGCUGUGCUCCGACACUAGCGGCUACGGGGUUCCGGCCACGGGAGGCCCUCGCGACGUACCGGGGGGUCACCUGUUGAUUGGGUAAAUUGGGGUUACGAUUAUGUGAUGUUUAAGUUGUUUAAUUCGUAUGUAUAAGGCAGAUUCUACCUUCUGCCGGUACCCAUAUAAACAAGCAGCACACAACAAGCUAGCACACAAUCACAAUCAACAACACAACCCUUUUUAUUAUUGCAAGGGGGGGUACAACUUGGGGAUACGACUAGAUCUCGUGCUACUCGGCCAAGGCUGGGAAGGGGCAUCACUGGGAUGGCGUUGGUUACUCUACUUGCGCGGUGUGCCUUCUUCCGGGGCGGAAAGGGUGAGAGGUCCUCGCUCGCCGUCUUCUGGGUUCCCAUCGGUCAGGGGUUGCAUUGCAGUAUCCCCUUCCUCGGUGGCAGCAGAAUUUUCAGGGUUCUCGGGUGGGGCUUGUGUGCUCCCAAAGAGUGAUCCCCACCCUAUGACGGGUGUCCCAAGUAAAACAUGGUCUUCCCCAAUUGCCGGGACUGGUGUUCCGCUUUGGGUCCAAUCUUGCAUACGCCGGUCUCGGGCUUGCCUGAGGCUCUCUUGGGCGACCGCUUCGCUACUGACCGCGGCUGCGGCUCUUGCCUCGGCGUGGGCGGCUCGGAUCUGCUGUAAUCUUACUGCGAGCUCCGCUUGCUCGGCUCGAUGGGUCUGCUCCCUUAGAAGGUUGGCUUGCACAUCAAAAAGUUGGUCCAGGGCGGCUAGGUAGGUAGCCACUUGGUACAGGGGGCCUUCUUCGUGACGGCGUCAUUCCAGGUUUCUCAUGCGUGCUUCCCAGACUGGGGUUCUGUUGGCCGGCGGGAAGAACUUCGCUGGCGUGGGGGCGAGGUGUUCUUCAAAAAUCUGGCACAAAUAACGGAGUGCUUUUCUGAUGGCCAAGGGGUAGGUGUCUUGGUGUCUAAACCCUGUGGCGGUCGCUCGCCAAGGCUGAAUGUUGGGGUAGCGGUUGCUCCUGGCGAUGACCAGGAUCACCCUGCAGCGGAGGGUACCAUGGUGUUCGUACUCUCGGCUGUAGUACCUUGGGCAUUCUGUAACGCCAAGGUCCUCCAGGGUGUUGAUUAAGAGGCCGGGAAAGCCAGGUGCUGCUUGGCAAUCGCCCUGGGUCCAUCCUUCCUCAGCCAUCUGAAACAGGAAUAGGGUAAACAAAUUUUGCACAGGUACAACGAGGGAGUAGAUAACAUUUAUUAUUGCAACAUGAGGGUACAGUUCCCAUGGCUACGUGGUUAUUAUUACGGUAGGGUUCUAGCUCAGAGUGCUAAUCCUAUUAUGGGGAUUCUUCCUCGGUCCUGAUGGAGCGCUUCUUUAUUGGAAGGAACCGAUCCAUCUCAUUUUCGGUCUGAGUACCCUUAUCCCAAUGGGUUUCCAUGGGCUCUUCCUCUUCUUCCUCUAUCCAUCCACCUAUUCCGUUGCGGUUCUCGUAUUCUUGCAUCUGGGCUUGGAGGGCGGCUACGGAAUACUCGGCGCUUGCGGCUCUUGUCCGUUGUUCCUCCAGUUCCGGGGUUAUCUUUUCAAUCCCAUGGAUUAGCUGCUUCAGUUGUGCCGCCUGUUCGCGGUAGAGUGCAUCCAAGCCAGUAAGGUAGAUGGACAGGUGGGAGACCGUAUCUUCUAGGUCUUCUUCUUCUCGUCCAAGUCCCCUCAUCUGGGCAAUCCAAGUGCGUCCUCUUCCCUCAGCGGGUGGGAAAAAUCCCAUAGGAGUCCGCUGAAGGUGGUGCCUGUAGAGCACACGCAGCCGUCGCAAGGCUUUGCGGGCGGCCUUUCGAUAGGUGUCGGGGAAACGGAAGCCAGCGAUGGAGAUGAACCAAGGGUCCACAUCAGGGUAGCGGGUGCUUCUCCCCACAAAAACCAUCAUGUCGCACCGAAGGGUGCCUCCGGCGAUGUACUCACGGUAGGCAUACUCCGGUGGUUCCAUAAUCCCAACGCGUUCCAGGCUGAGCAAUAGUAACUUGGGGAGACCGGGCUCUGCGUGGCAGAUUCCGCUAACCCAUCCAUUGCCAGCCAUCUGGAACAAGGCAAAGACCAGUGGUGAGUGUUUAUGCAGAAAGUUUCUAAAUCGGGACAAGUUCUAGGGUCUGAAAAGGGGUCUCGCUCCUAGGGUCACGUCCUACGGCCAGCCUACGGCUCUGAUACCACCUGAAGCGUCCCCCCAUCAGGGAAGACUUAAAAGUGUUGCUUUAUCAGUCCCAGGAGGCUGAUAACACUUUUAUUACAUCAGAUGGUACAUCACCGUACAACUCUUCGCGGUAAUGGGCAGUGAAGCGCCACUAUCGUGAGGAUCACAACUAAAACCCAUACUACUACACUAACUACGAAGAGGGAAUCAUCAGAGUCUUGCGCCAUGCGGAGCUCCAACGGUGACCUCACCCACAGGCAAGACUGGGUGCAGGACGGAACCCUACUCGACGUCUUCGGGGAUGUAGUCGGGAUCUUCCACUAUAAAAGUAAGAACGGGGUGAGUACAGACGUACUCAGCAAGUUCGAUCACACCCACGGAGGGGGGUAUAAUAGAAUUUAAUGCACAGGAUAAUCAAAAGAUAAGGUUAUGGUUCUUUUACGGAAACUCGGUUAUAUGCAGGGGUUCAUUUUAAAAACAUUUUCAAAACAAGCUUUCCAGUACCAAGGAGCACACGGUGUUGACCCACACAGGAUCCAAGUUUAAACUGCUACCGGACUUCCCAUCCGCCGUAGCUCACGGCACAUCUGCCGGACACAUUCCAAACAACUCACACCAGCCCAUCCAUUCCCAGAGAGAAACACUAGUUAUGUGACCACACCGUAACUUGCCCGAUACCGUGGGCACGGCUAUUCGAAUAGAUUUUAUCUCUGCAGAGGUGUGCAACUUUACCCACAGGUGGGGUACCACAGCACGAACACCUUAGUGCCAGUGCAGAUCCCAUCAAAGCCCUCACCCACCUUAGCUAGACCUGGCUAGCCACCACGGGAUCUAUCAAGGGGUCAUUCGACCUAACACCGAGGUUUAACCGGGGCAUAAGUCACACAGAGCUUAUCCCGUCUCCUUGAUCACCCGUUGCUCCCAGCUCUCCUGAUAGCUAUCAGACUAACUAGUGGGGUUAGGCUAAGCCGUUGCCCAUACAACGGUCAAGUGGUUUGCACGACAGGAAGCUAGGUGAGACGACACAUCAACUCGGUCCUUAGGGGUGACAAGAUGGAUAUCUCCCUUUCACGCUCAACCACACAGGUACGAGCACACCAACUGCAAUUCACACAGAAAUGCCAUCCAUCUCGUCUGACUUACUUUUCAAAACCACCUUUUAUCCCUUCCCACACGCACACACACUUUCUUUGCAAAACCAAAUGGUCAAGGUAUGGUUAUCACAAGUAAGGUGGCUAUCCUACCAUGUUUUCAGCACGCAAAACCAUGCAAUUUUAUAAAACGGGCCACUGGGUUGUGUUUAUAAAAACUAGGACAGAAACAUGCAUCAAAGGGCGGGAUUGAACUUGCCAUCGUCAAGUCCUUGCGGAAGGUCCUGAUCGAAGCACUGUCCUUCGGGUUCGGGGUCGCAGAACUGGUCCUCGGUUGCUUGGUCGCAGUCGGGAACUUCUUCGUUCACUCCGUGUCCUACGACGCAAACAAAACAGGCAUGCAAUCAAGCGAGAGAACUAAAAGCUUUUAUCGUUGAGCUUGAAUCGAAAAUAAUUUAGUCACGGAGGUAGGGGUAAUAUUUUUGGGUGGUUUCUUAAUGGCAUGGCUAAAACUAUACUAGAAAUGGAGUGGUAAAGUUUUGGGUCAAUCGGAGGUCGUUUCGCACAUAAAAUGACGAGCUAAAGGGGGUUCGGGUGGUUAAACAGGGCUCCAGGGGUUUAUUCGUAAGUAUCUGGAGGGGGCAAGGGCCUAUUUGCAAAUUCUAGAAAUACGCAGGGCACGCUAAAGGAUGCCAAGUAUAAUUGGGUUUGUGUAAUGGAGGGUUUAUUUUGAAAUAACGGAAAGAACAGGGCCUUUUCUGCAAAGGAGAGUAAGUAGAGGGGGGUUCCUUUGAGAAAAUACAGGAAAGGGGGGGGGUUACGGGCAAAACUGCCCUUCUCCUUCCUCUCCCCCAUACCGAACAGAGGAAGGGGAAGGGGACGCCGGCGCCCGGCUGAUUCCGGCGGCCGGGGGCAUGGCGGCGGCCGGAGUUAGGGUGAGAGGGGGAGGGGGGCGAGGGGAACCGGUCCCCGGCCUCACCUCGGGCCGGGACGGCGCGUGGAGGCGGGGCGACGGAGGCCGACGGCGGCGGGCAGAGCGGCCGGUGGGGCGGCGAGGGGAGCUUGGGAAGGGAGCUGGGGGGUGGUGGCGCGAGUUGUGGAGGUGCCGAGGUGCGGGGGGUGCUAUUUAUAGGCGGCCGCGGUGGAGGAGCGGGCGAGCGGCUGGUGGCCGGCGGGGCGGCUCCGGGGCGGCCAUUAAUGGCGCCCGGGGUCGCGACGCGGCGUGCGGCGGUGCAGGCGUCGAGGGUGGCGUCGAGCACGUGGGGAGGCGGCGCCGGCGCUGUGCGGUACAGGGCGGCGCGGGCGGCGAGGCCGGGGCGACAGCGGCGGGCGGCGCGGCGGCCGUGCUUGCGCGUGCGUGCCGUGGCCGUGCGCGUACGCGUGCGCGUGGGUCGCGUGCGCGUGCGGUCCGGCGGCGCGCGCGUGUACGGCGGCUUGCGCGCGAGGGUGGGGCGGCGUGGCCGGGGCCAGAGGCCGGGCGACGCGGCUCGGGAGCUCGGGAGCAGGGGAGGGAGGAAGGAGCAGGAAGGAAGAAAAAGAAAAGGGAGGGAAGGAAGAAAAGGAAAAGGGGAAAAAGGAAAAAGGGAAGGGAAAGAAAAGAGAGGGGAAAAAAAAGAAAAGGAAAAGAAAAGAAGGAAAAAAUUAGUGCGCGUCGGCGGUAUUCGCGGCGGCGAUCGUGCGGCGAAAUUCGCGGCGGCGACCGCGGCUGGUUAGCCCCGCGUGCGCUGCGUUCGCGCGCUGCGCGAAGAGAAAAAGGUGACGUGAUCGUGAUUGGAUUCGGGUGUCGGCCUCGGCUCCCGGGGAGUUAGGGUUUCGACAAAACGGUUCUCGAAAACGAAAAUUUUAGCGUGUAAUUUAUGGGUAAUUUUUUUCGGGAUGUCACACUCUACAAGCUCAAAGUGGAGCCCAUCGGCUACCACCUCCCGUCCUUUGGUAGGGCUUCGAGGAUCCGUUCUCCAUUCCUCAUUGUCUAGCUUGUCACUCAUGUUCUCUCCCCCCUCCAUUUUCUAUGCUCUAAUGAUGUAGUUGUUAUAUUGUUUGGCCAGAUGUAUGUUGUAUUGUUGAUAAUUGUUUUUGGUUAGAUCUGGUAGGCCAUAUUGUAGAUCUGGUACCUGUCAGACCCGGGGGAUUGCUCGUACAAUAGCUAGUCGGACACGGUAGGAAACUACCCGAGAAGUACUCGGGUAGGACUCUUGGGCUUGUACCCGACUAGGACUUCCAUGUAAAAUCUGUCCUCCCAGACUAUAUAAGGGCGGAUAGGGACCCUCUUCGGGACAAUCAUCAUCAAAGGCAAUACAAACCAUACAGGACGUAGGAUAUUGCGCUCUCAGCGGCCCGAACCUGUCUAAAACCUUGCGUUCCUUUGCACCUUCGAGUUCCUAAUCGCGGCGACAACCUACCUACAAACUCACCAUCUCGGGGGUGUUUAUCGAGCAUCCACCGGAGAAUUCGAUGGCAUCCUUCAACUUCACCAGCACUGUGCUCGACGAAGGCACAACCUUCAUCUUCAGCUCCUAGAUCUGCGUCGCCAAUGGUUCGGGUGGCUUCAACAACCACCUAGCCAACUCCAAAGAGCCGGAAGCUUCUUCAUCAACUCCAAGCAGCGAUCUCAAUGACUUCAUUGACAACCUCGACGAUAUGCUGCGUCCCGAUCUGGCCCAGCAGAUCGAAAAGAAGUCCAUUUUCAACGCGACUUCCACUCAUGACGCACCAGAUCUAUUCGGGUCGGAUUCAAACCAAUCUGAAAAGACCUCACAAUCUAAAUCCCUCGCCGACUUGGAGGAGGAUUUGGAUCUGCUGCUUAAGAUCAAGGACGUGGGCGCCACCGUUUGCCGGGCGGCCCCCAUUUUCAACACCCACUCGGACGCCAACGAAGAUUACUCCCCGUGCAGCACUACACCUUCAAGCCGUGCCCGAAAAGGACUCGGAGACGAGGGAGUCAAAGCUUGUCGGGCGGCCCCUGCCCUUGAAAACCACUCGCAACCCGACGGCCACACCAAAAUGUUUUCGAGCAGCCUUCUGGGUUUAACCAUCACAUCAACGCCGCAAGGAUGUUUCAUGUACUGGAAGGGAUUUGAGCCCUCCGAACUACUCGAUUACGAAUCUCGCCUUGUGGCCUUCACGUAGGAACUACCCUUCCAGGAGGGUAGACCCCUCUCUCCCAUUGCGGAAGAAGGAGAAAGUAGCACAGAGCUACUCGAGUACAGCCUUAGGGCUAACCACACGCCGGAUCAUCAAGUUUGCAUGGCCUCCCUUCGCAAUGCGGAGAACAAUGAGCUGGACCCCCUCAGUACAACAACGAACAACUCGCGGACGUCUCAGCCGACGAGCCCACAGCUGAUGCUCCCCAAGAUGAAGACGAGGAGCACCGAAGGAUCCAGCGGGUAAAGAACGCCAAGCGUGCUCAACGCAGGCGCAACGCGCAGAAUCGCGCCCGCGAACCAAGGGAUCUCAACAACGCUUUUGCAGCAGUCGCGGAUCGCGAGUAUCGUACGCUGAUUGGCACCAUCGCAGAAGCAGCACUCCUAACUCAACAACUCCCAUCCAAUCAGCACUCCUAACUCAACAACUCCCAUCCAAUCCUCAGAUACAAAGGCUGCAGUACUUGACCCAACGCGCGCUCGUGCAACUCGACGGGCAACAUCCAAUAUCUCCCACUCAGAAUCAGCCCUCGAGGUCUGAGCGCCAUGGUGAUACCGCACUGGUCAGUCGCACCCCUGGAGGAGGCCCCGGGAUCCAGAGGAACGACAACUGCCAGUGCAACGAGGGCCACCCGUCUACGCGUGGCAACAAUGAACAAGAAGUACAACAACCCACUCGCAACCAGUGUGGGGUAAGGCAUCACGGCCAAGAUCCACUUGAGGCCAACCUUCACGACGCCCCCACGAUCGACCUCAGGCGGAAGAUCAAUGAAGGCCGCGACACGCGGCUUGUCAUUGAAGCGAGGAGAAGGGACCGUACCGGCAGGCAGCACAACGACAACGACAGCGACCGCUUCCCCGCCUUCACCACCAGCAUCACCGACAAGUCCUAUCCAAAGGACUUCAAACCAGUCGGAAUCCUCAAGUAUGACAGUAAGCAGGAUCCACGCCAGUGGAUUUGAUGCUACUCCGUUGCUAUUAAAGUUUAAGGGGGAUCCAACUCUACAAAGGCUCUCUACUUCCCGGUGGCUUUGGAGUCCGCGCCCCUCACGUGGCUUGGAAGCCUCAAGCCAAACUCCAUCGACUCGUGGGAGAACCUCAAGCGGGCCUUCAUCGACAACUUCCAGGGCUCCAUGAUCAGGGUGGGCACUCGCCAUGACCUGUCCCAGGUGAAGCACAAGAUGAAGGAGACCCUAAGGUCCUACACACAGUAUUUCUUCGAGACACGUGCCACCAUCGCCAACAUCACCAAUGAGGACGUCAUUCGUUGCUUCCAAAACGGCCUCUUCUCGAAGAACACGUACCAUGACUUCUCGAUCCCAUGUUUCUCAACAAAAAAAAUCUCUUUUUGCAUAUUUACUCCAUCUGUUCAAUAUAUAUUCUGAUGGUAAAAUAAAAAUAUCCUUUAUGUUGAAGACUUUGAGGGCAUGCUUGCAUAAUAUACCUGACAUAUAUGAAAGAUGUUAUUCAUCAAAUUGUAUAAUAAAAAUAUAUCAUAAUUAAGAAAUUUUAUACACACCUAUACAUUCAUACUUCCUGCAAGAACAAGUGAUGGUCAUAUUUUCAAUGUUAAACACAACUAUUGCCCCUUGGUCUGAUUGCAUAUGUGUAACCAUAUAUGUGAAGAUUGACCCCUCAACUUUUAACAAUUGACCACUUAAUAAAAAUUGAUCUUUAAAUUCAGCCUCAAAUUCAGAGUACAUUCUCUUUGUAUAUGAUUCAGCUGCCGUUUUCAACAUAGAUAAAUUUGGGCUAGAAGGAAUAGAGAUCUUUCGACGUGAAUGAAAAUUUUGCAUUCAACUCAUUUUCAUGAAGACUGGCAGACACCUUCUCACAUUCUACGAGGAGCUUAGAAAGACUCAGUUUUCUACGAAACCUUUUCUUGAGGAUAUUAUUCAUACCUUCACUCCUUUGAGUAGAGGUCAUAUCAGCUGUAAAUGAGUCACCAUAGAUAAUAGCCUAUUUUCCCCUCAAGUUAUAAAGGUUUGCCAUCCAAUCAUUGUCCACAAGAUUGUACUUCCGCAAUAACUCAUGCCACUUCUCAUUAAAGUAAUACUCUGAUCUAUCCUCAUAGACACAACUCUUGAAAGCAGGUAGAAACUCCUGAUAUUGCUGUUAAGAAGGUUUCAAAGAGCCAAACAAAUGAUGGAAUAGUUUCAUCAAACAUCAAGGCAGCCCCAAAAAUUAUGGUUUGCUUGUGAUGAUUGACACUGAGGAUUGGAGCAAAAGGCAAUUCAAAUUUAUUGGUUUGAAAUGUGGUGUCAAAUGACACAGCAUCACCAAAGCAUGCAUAAUCCAUGAUUGACUGACCAUCUGCCCAAAAAACAUUAGAUAUACGACCUUUAUCAGGUCCAUCUUCUUGAUCUAUUUCAACUGCAUAGAAAAAUGUAGGAUCCUCACGCUGCUUAUUCUUCAAGUAGUUGCAUAGUGUCUGUGCAUCAUUAGAUUCUAAAUACUUUUUGCGCUCACGAACAAUCUCAUUAUUGCAAUCCAUCCUUGAGAAUGGCACUUUGUCGGCUACUCCAUAGAACUCCUUCAUGAACUCAUACACUUGGGCAUGCCUCGUUCCAGCUUCUCGUAUCUGGCCAAUUAGCUUUCUAUCUGCUUCUAUGACACGUCAUUGGGAUCUUAAUUUUUUUCUCUUAUUCGGACUAGCAAGAUAGUGAUUAUGCUCAAGCACAACCCUUUGCACUGUCCAAAUCCCCUCUUUACUGACACCUAACUGAAUACGAGCACUGCAUCGUAACCGUGUCGUGCCCUUUGAUGACUCAGUGUUCCCGUAUCCUUGGCCACUACAAACUAUAUAUUUUUGAUAUGUAGUACGAUCUGAUUGGAGUUUUGUGGUGCUCUUUCUAAUACUGAACCCAAUUUUACCGCCAUAAUUAUUAUACAUCUCAUAUGCGUGAUCCUCGGAUUUAAGGUCAUUCCAACUUCAGGAACGAUUAAAAUAUAGUUGACUCUUUACGAUGUUUGUCAACCUUGGAGGAAUAGUGGUUCAUGGUCAUGGAAAAUACAGGCACAAAUCUCUGGAGGGCUAGGAAUGACCCAUCUUGUAGCACAGGCAGCAACAUACGGAGUAGCUACAGGCUAAGUACUCUGAACAAACCGAAAAACACGGUUCCUUGCACCCCUUUGCUUGCAGCUUCACGAUGCCACUCUGAAUGCUGCCAUUGCAGCCGACGCACAACACCACGACGCUGCCAUCGCAUCCAUGAUUGCCAAUGCACUUACCUAUGACCAGGUGAAGGUUUUUUUUUUUCCGAAAAGGAUGACCAGGUGAAGUACAUGUACAUCACGGACAACCAACAGUUGGCACCAAUUCUACAGGAGGAGAAUUAUGAUUGAUCAGCUUGGAGACUGGAGACUGCGACCCCUUCUGCAUCGAACAACAACAAAGACAUACCUUUCACCUGACGAAAGAUUGGGCGAGAAACCAACUGGAUAGCUCAGAACAUAGCCAAGGAGGCAUGGAAAUACAGUUCACCUCCUUGAGUCUGUCAUCCUGUAACCACGUAGGCCGUCCAAUGCAUUGCCCGAUUCAACAGGCUUUGCAAAACGUUACCAAGGAAUACAUAUUUAAUUUAUCAAAAAAAAUGUGGAACUUGAUGAUAGUUCUAUAUGAUUAUAUUUGAAGGACAUGCACAAAAUAUCUUCAAGCACCCCGUUCAUUGAUAUUUUUUUCAAGCACUGCAUUCAUUGAUAUGAAUUGAAUAAUUUCAAAAGUGCAGACAAAAGAGGCGCGCGAAGUUCCAUAACAUGCUUCGGACGCCAGCAUCAAUGAAUUAAAUAUGGUUCAGAUGACUGAGAAGAUUAGCAUCUCACUGUAAACAGAGACAUGCAGGAACUUCCUGUGAUAUGAAAAUGCAAGGAGUAUAGGAAAUGGGAGCCAAGAAUAUACUAAUGUCCCAGAAUCACAUAAACAUAUUCAAACUGCAGGAAACCUGACCACUUGAGGAUGCUCUAAUACAGAAGUAAAAAAAAAUAUAAAAGAUAUGUGCAAUCCAUGGAUAGGGCUUGUGCAUUUUUCGAGAGGUAGAUCAGCAUGGACUCCACUAGCAUUUGAUACUGAAGAUAAGGAUAGCAUUUCUCUAUAGAAUUUCAUCAAACAAAGGAGACCACAGAAUGUGGCUAGUAAAUUAAAGCACGAGACAGACAUAAUCACUCAAACAAAUUUACAUGUCGUUGGGUAUUGCAGAAAUAUUUACAACUUGCCCAGACACCAAUGUUAGCGUUUGGGGGGUGCUGGGCUGGUUGCAACUGCUUCGGCAGCAGGUUAAGUGGUUCACCCGCUUCAACAGGGAUGAACUCGUACAAUCCACCUGACUUUUGCCUGCAGAUAAUAAUGAAAACAAUUCAGCACCAUGGAAUCAUAUGCUUUCUAUCAACAGGCCGGACAAAAGGAUUCAGGAUCACAAGGUAACACUUCAACUGGGUGGGUUAGAAUAAAAAAACAGAGAUCACAUGAAACUCGAGCGUACGGAGUUCCAUCAUCUUCAGUAGAUAUCAUAACCUUUUAAUGGGUGUGACAGUUGACAUGCAAAGCAAAAGGUUAUGCUACUUCACGAUCAAAUUCAGGAGAAGAAAAACGUGUUUAUGCACGCGCAUUCCUCAGGCAAAACAUCAACUGAUGGAUGAAACAAGAACAAAGAUAAUUAGAAUGAUGACAUUUCUAUGGAGCAGAUAUGAAAUGAUUGGCAUACUCUUCGAGUAACCAGUCACUAUUCACUGCAUAUGUCAAGUGCGGAGUAAGAAUACCUGCAAGUAUCAGUUGAUUUUAGGGCUUAGGUAGUUGUAUUGUGGAUCCCUGAGGAAUUAAUUGAUUUGAGAAAAAACAGCUGUUGGUUGCAAGACUAUGAUCCGAGUCGUUUCAGAUGUUCAGUGGCGGAAUCAUUGUGAGAGUUGCAUAACUAUGCCAGCUUCAGGACAGCGUCGGAGGCGAACUACAUCGGCCGGGUUGGAGUAGGCGACGGACAACGGCGGGGUCACGUCGGAGGCGAACUACCCAUACAAAGGUAGGGAGGGCGAAUGCGUCAACGGCAAGCCGAGAAACUUUGCGGCGCGUCAGAGCUUGCUUAAACCUGUGAAUGGUGUUCUAGGGAACAAUCCGAGUCCCAAGCUUGCGUAAUCUUAUUAUUCAGGUCUUGUCAGAGGACGAAAAUAGUGUGAAAGCACUGUUCAGGCGAGGAAAAGCUAAAUCUGAACUUGGCCAGACAGAAUCAGCCAGGGUGGAUUUCCUGAAAGCAAAGAAGUACUCUCCAAGAGACUCGGAGAUCCUUCGGGACCUUCGGUUGGUCGCGGAACAAGACAAGGAUCUGUACCAAAAGCAGGAGCAGCUAUACAAUGGUCUCUUUGGGCAAAGGCCUGAAGUGAAACCAAAGAAGGCAAACUAACUCGCUAUUUUCUGGCAGAGGCUGUUGUUCUUGAUUCGUUAUCUGGUCCGGAUGUUCAGUAAGAAUGAGUAAGGUAGUUUACCUGAAAAUUGUUCAGAAUAGGUGCUUGAGAUUCCAUGACCAUCAUGACCAACCUUGUACUGUUAGACUGGAAUAUCUGUGGAACUGUCGAUCAUUUGAUCAUGCAUUUGAGCAGUUGGGAUCAAAUAUACUUUUUAUGAACUCUAUACAAUAUUGUGUAUUGACGAACCUUGGAGCCUGUUAGCAAUAAUCUUGACUAGUAGUGCAGUAGGUACAUGUAAGUUACUCAGGGUCCAAGUCUAGUCUUUGCCUUGGGGACCAAGUUGAGUCAAGUCUUUGCCUUGGCAUGUAAGCCACUGUGGCUGUGUAGUAGUGUAUAUAUAGUGCUAUAAAUAGAAAGGAGAGGGCCUAGCUCCCUCGAGAGUUCAAGCAGCACCAAAGGAGAGUGGUCUAGUUCUUCUCUUCACAAGAGGAGUGUGUGUGGCUGCUGGCAGGUUGCCGUAAAGAACUGCCUGGGCUGUAGAGUAGGAGUUGCCGUAGCCGGAUACUUACAGGCUGACCGGAGGCAACUUUAGGUACUUAGGAGGAGCUGAUCAAAUGAUCAGUUUCAAGUAGGUUGCUGCGGCAACUAGUGUGUUUCUACGUGAAACUAGUGUGUUAGCGUGUAUCUUCGGUCGUGUGCUGUCCUAACAGAGCCAACGUUCAUACAUUCUUUCAGCUGAAGUUUCAAAAAACUUUUUUUAUGCCAGUGAAUUUCACAUUUUAGAUUAUUGUAGCAAUAAUACUGUCUCAAUUGAGCUCUAGAUUUCAUUCUCAUGUUGAUGCUGUUGCCAUUGAAACUUCAGUUGCUUGCAGAGGAGCACAAAGUCUCACUUCAUUGCUCUGGAAUUACAACCAUUCUAAGUGCAAGCAAAAGACAUGCCUGAUCCUGAACACACGCUAAAGAUGCUAUCAUGAAAUUUUUUUGAGUUCAGAUGACCAGGAGACUUACAAAAAUUGAUACUGUAAACAGACAUACUGCCAUACUGGGAACUUCCACUGCUCUUGUAUGGACAUAGAACUGCAACCCAUGCAAGGAGUCAGGGACAUCCAUAAAGCACAUACACAAUAUCUUGGAACUACAGGAAGGCCCGACCUUUGGAGGGUGGUCGAAUACAGAAGUAAAUACAAACAAUAUGUGCAAUACAUGGAGAGUACUGCUGCAUUUUUCAAGGUAAUUUACCAUGGACUCCCCAGUAGCAACCGGUGCAGGCAUAGCCGCAGAAAACAAAAACCAACCGAACAAACAAGGAACUCGAAGCAUCAGAAACAUUACUCAAUAUGUGAAACAUGAAAAGUGAACAAAGAAAGCAUGAUUCGACAAUGGAGUUAUUAAGGAAGGAGUGUGCCAACCUUUAAAGGGCUACAGUUGUUGGAAGCGCCCAGCCUUUCAAGUGGCAUCAAAUAUUCAACUUCAUCCAAGUAUGCAACUUCCCAAACACAAUAUUCAACUGAAGUCAUAAAAAAGAGUGCCAACAAGUAACACAUAGAUAAUACAGCUGCAGAAAGGUAAAACCAUGUCAACAAGCAAGGCUAACCAGAACAUUAUGGACAGUAGUGGUUUUGUCAACUGAUUAUGCAACAUGCUGAUAUGCAUCAACAGGGAAUAUAAAAUCAAUACCUUCAAAAACAUCUAAAGAAUAACCAAUGUAGAAGAUAAUGGUGACAGAGUUGGUAAACACUUUAUACUAAACAAACAUUUUUUUUCCCAUUAGAGUCUGUUCCUUAUCUCUUAAUCCAUAUUCCAAAGAAUGAUAGUAUUGGAUUUACUAGAUACAUUGAAUUGCAAGCAGUAAACACUUAUGAUUUAUUUUAUCCUUGGAAGUGCAGGAUUUCUUAACAAAUUAUGCAACGAAAAGCAUCCAAACCUUCUUGAACCAUCAACAUGUAAAUUGAUCCCUGUUGUAAAUAUAAGUGCAACUGAAAACAAGAUAAUUUUUACUUGGUGAUAAACUUGAUACUGAAGAGCACUAUCAUGAUAACAUUUCUCUAAACAAAGGAGACCACAGAAUAUGGCAAGUAACUUAGAGCAUGAGACAGAAAUAUUCACUGCAAUGGAUAGACAUAAUCACUCCAACAAAUUUAUGCGCCACAUAAAAGAUGUCUCAACACAGUUGAGAAUCCAAUUCCUCUGAAAAAAUCCUCAUUUAUUGACAGCCUCAAGAAAAUGAUACUUUUCAGGCAGGGACUUUGCAUGGUGCUGAUAUUCCUCCCUCGAGAAAACUGAUAUUAGCAAGGAAGUAGUGGCUGCCUCAAGUGAGAAGUUCAUCUCAUCAAUUUUGGAGAGGUAAGCCCCAGCCCUCAUUAUCUCACCUCUAUGCAACAGCCUCCUAACAAGAGAAUUUAGCAUACAUGAGUCUGGAGUGCAUCCACUCUUUUCCAUUGCUAAAAACAGAUUGUCAGACUCUUCUAGCAAUCCUUCUUUGAUGAGAUUUUGUAUCAUUAAGCGAUAGGUCACAACACUUGGAACUAAACCAUGGGCAGAGAUAGCAGUGAACAUAUCCAUAGCAUCUUCCUUUCUGCCACUUUUGAGAAAAGCAUCAAUCAUAAUGUUGAAGGUAAUAAUGUGUAGUUGAAAACCCUUAGAACAUAAACUCUGAAAUAUUUUAAAUGCCUCAUCAACACAAUUAUUUUUGCAAAGACCAUCCAGAAUUAUGUUGUACGUGUAAAUGUCCAACUGUACUCCACUAUUGAUCAUAUUGGGAUAGAGUUCUUUUGCUUCAGAAAUUUUCCCAGACCGAAAUAAACCCUGAAGUACCAUGCUAUAAGUGACAAUUCCAGGCCUAACUUCAUUGCUUAACAUUUCUCUGAAUAGUCUAACUGCAUCAUCUAUCCUGCCAGCUCUACAAUAGCCAUGAAGCAAAGUAUUAUAAGAAAAGGCAUCUGGUUUCAAGCCAACUCGGACCAUAUCAUCAAGUAACUUCAUAGCUUCCUUCAUCCUACCAGCUAAGCAGUGGCCAUCCAUUAACGUAGUAUAUGAGAUAACAUCAGGUCUCACACCUACACACACCAUCAAGUCAAGGAGACUCUGGGCUUCCGUGACUCGUCCUUCUCUGCAAAGGUUACACAUUAUUGUGUUGAAGAACAAGGCAUUGGGAUGGAUCCCUUGAUUCAGCAUUUCAGAAAAUAAUUCAUUAGCCUUCUCCCAUUUGCCGACAGUGCACAGUCCAUAAACUAGUGAGUUAAAAAUAAUGAUAUUAGGAGUCACUCCUUCAUAGAUCAUCUGAUUAAAUUUGAGCAUAGCCUCGUCCACUCUUCCCGACUUGCAAAGUGCAUCUAUUAAUGCUCCAUUGUUUACUCCAUCAGGACUCAACCCUUGCUGCCUCAUUUGGUCAAAGAUACGCAUUGCCUCAUUUAUCAUACCACCUUUACCAUACGCCCAGAGAACUAUGCUAAAGGUACGAUGGUCAGGUGAAACACCAUUUUCUACCAUCAAAUCCAGGAGGCCAUGCAUGUCAGAAAGAGCUCCUUUGGUAGCAUAACCAUGAAGCAGAACACCAUAUGUAGUUACAUUAGGUUUUGUGCCCUUUUCAAUCAUAGAAUCAAAAAUCUUUCUAGCCUCUGUGCAUCUUCCACUCUUGCAAAGGUAAUCCAGCAGCAAAUUACAAGUGACAAUAUCUGGCUGAUAACCAUGUGCGGACAUUUCUUUGAGCAUUCGAACCACCUCUUUCCCCAGUCCUGAAGAGCAAUGUCCAUGGAUCAGACAAUUAUAUGUCUGAUUGUCUGGCUUAACGCCUUUAUGAACCAUCUGCCGAAGGACACCCUCGGCCCUGUCAACAGCUUGAGCUUUGCACAGGCCAUUGAUGACUGUGUUGUAGGUCACAACAGUUGGCAAAAUCCCCUGGUUAUCGAUUUCACGAAAUAGGUUGUAAGCUUUGUCCACCUGACCCUCUCUAAAUAAGCCAUUGAUGACGAUGCUGUACGCCACGACAUUUGGUGGGCAGCCAAACUCGGGCAUUCGUCGGAGUAAUAUGUCCAUGGCCUCAUCCACCCUCUUUGUGUCACAGAGACCUUUGAGAAGCGGAUUGAUGACUGUUUGCACCCUCCAGCCCGCCUUGAGGACGAGGCCAAAGGAGGCGAAACCAAGCUCCAGGCGUCCCAUGCGGCAGAAGCAACCGAUGAGGAUGUUGUAGGUGGACCCAUUGGGAGCCACCUUGUUCGGGGAGGCACGGACCAUCCGGUUGAAGAGGGACACGACGAGCGCGGAGGUCGAGGAGCCCCUUCCCUGGGCGCGAAAGAUGGAGGUAAGGAGGUGGUUGAAGGCGCGAACCGAGGCCGGCCUGGCGUGGGGGAGCAAUUCGUCGAACAUCUUGACGGCGUCAUCGAGACCGAGGCUUUUUCCCGAGCUAACGCGGCCAACGAUGGCGCGCUCCAGCUCCAAGCAGCGGUCGCGCACGCCGCAGGACAUGCCGGCGGGGCACGGCACGGCUAGCGGCCCGGCGAGGAGACGGAUGGGCGGCCCUGCAUCCGCCUCCGGGUCGGGCGUGGCGGCUCGAUCGGUGGGGGCGGAACAGCGCGUUCUACGGCGUGGAGUGGGCGAGCGAUGGAUCUGGAAUGCUACCGGCGGUGGUCUCGGCGUGGGAGUGGGCGUUCUAUGCAUUGGCUGGUUGGGGCGGCGUGGCGCCGGGCGUCAGGUGUUAGUCCUGAGCUCCUAGAUUAGAAGGUAGCAGGUGGGUAGCGCCAAUAGUGGUUGGACACAGAUUGCGGCAUGACCCAGGUGGUUGGGAUGGCAUCUAUCGAUCACGAGUACGUCGGGAUUGGCUUGGUCUUCUAUCCUUUAUAUAGAAAUAGCAAUCAACUGAAAGCGUUGCCGUUUUGCAGCACCAAAAUUCAUCGAGUCCACUUCGUGUUCGCGUGUGAUGUCUUCCUCCGUUUGGAGUUCUGUCAUCAGGUGCCGCCGGGCGGUGGCCGUCCGACGUGACGUGACCAACAGAGGCGGCGAGGAGCAGCAGCAGCACAAGCAGCCAGCCAAGAACGGAAACAUAGUGGGUGGGUAGGAUUGUUUCAAGAUUUGUGUUUAUUUCUUCUUUGCUGAUUUCUUUCGAAGCCCAAGGCCCAGACAUCCAGGCGACCAGGCCAAGCCUGACGCUUAAUUCUUCCGACAGAUAAUCACCUACGCACAUGUGACGCUUCGACUCGUACCGGUCAACAUAUACGCUGUCAACAACGUAUAUUUCAUAUUGGAUUCAAUAAAACAAAUUAGAUAUUAUAAAUAUUAUUAUUUUUUAUAUAAAUUUGGUUAACCAAAUUUAACUUAGGACAAAUCUAAUACAACAUGUAAAUAAAAAUAGGGGAGUAAUUUUAUACGUUCUUCAGAUAAAUUAGUCUUAAAACAAGCUAUGCAUUGCUUUAGAAUGGCAGUCUAAUUAUUUUGUAGCCACCGUAUUCCACCCCGAGAAAGAGCAGACCAACACAUGCCUGAAACCUGUUAUACCAGGUCCACUUCCAACAACAAACGCUGCAGCCUGCAGGUGUAGUCCUUCCUUUGUAUGCAGGUUUACGGGUAUAUUUCUCCAUCAACUCUCUUUUGUCAGAGCCACAUUGUCCAUAACAAUGAUGUGAUUUUCCAGAUGGCUGUGACCAUGGCCACAGGUGGCGUUGGCGGUUUACAGCGUGAUGGGUUCCGUGGAUUCGGUGUAGCCUGGCCCGUGGGAUACAACAUGUGUGUGAUUGGUUAGCUGGAUGAGCCUUUGAGCCUGGCCCAUGCUGUCCAAAAGGUCUCUCUAGACCUGGCUCCACCCACGCAGAAAAAUUAAGAUAGUGAUUGGUUGGUUGCAUAUUCUCCAACUGAACUUCUAUAGAGCAGUCCAACAUGUUUGGAUGGUUGGGUAGGCCUCGUAGCCACAGGCUUGCGGAGUGCAAAAGGGGCAGUCCAGCCUGCAUUGCGGGAUACAGAUUUCGAUUUUGUUUCCGGCUUGUGCAGGUUGUAUUAGCUCCGCGCUCAAUUUUGCAGACCCGCCUUGUGCGGCCCGCGGCUCGUACUGUGCAGGGAACGAAACCCUCCGUCUCGCUAGGGUUACCAUUGUGCAGCCCGCGGCCCGUACUGUGCAGGGAACGAAACCCUCCGUCUCGCUAGGGUUACCACUGCACAGUACUCAUUCGCGUCGUCCGGCCUCGGCCUCCCUCUUCGCUCGCUCUCGCCCUCCCACUUCGCUCUCGCAAACGCACGCCGUCGCCAAGCUAGGGUUUCGCCGCCGCCUCUUCCUCGGCUCUACAAGCUCAAAGUGGAGCCCAUCGGCUACCACCUCCCGUCCUUUGGUAGGGCUUCGAGGAUCCGUUCUCCAUUCCUCAUUGUCUAGCUUGUCACUCAUGUUCUCUCCCCCCUCCAUUUUCUAUGCUCUAAUGUUGUAGUUGUUAUAUUGUUUGGCCAGAUGUAUGUUGUAUUGUUGAUAAUUGUUUUCGGUUAGAUCUGGUAGGCCAUAUUGUAGAUCUGGUACCUGUCAGACCCGGAAGAUUGCUCGUACAAUAGUGAAACUAGUCGGACACGGUAGGAAACUAUCCGAGAAGUACUCGGGUAGGACUCUUGGGCUUGUACCCGACUAGGACUUCCAUGUAAAAUCUGUCCUCCCAAACUAUACAAGGGCGGAUAGGGACCCUCUUCGGAACAAUCAUCAUCAAAGGCAAUACAAACCACACAGGACGUAGGAUAUUGCGCUCUCAGCGGCCCGAACCUGUCUAAAACCUUGCGUUCCUUUGCACCUUCGAGUUCCUAAUCGCGGCGACACCCUACAUACAAACUCACCAUCUCAGGGGUGUUUAUCGAGCAUCCACCGGAGAAUUCGAUGGCAUCCUUCAACUUCACCAGCACUGUGCUCGACGAAGGCACAACCUUCAUCUUCAGCUCCUAGAUCUGCGUCGCUAAUGGUUCGGGUGGCUUCAACAACCACCUAGCCAACUCCAAAGAGCCGGAAGCUUCUUCAUCAACUCCAAGCAGCGAUCUCAAUGACUUCAUUGACAACCUCGACGAUAUGUUGCGUCCCAAUCUGGCCCAGCAGAUCGAAAAGAUGUCCAUUUUCAACGCGACUUCCACUCAUGACGCACCAGAUCUAUUCGGGUUGGAUUCAAACCGAUCUGAAAAGACCUCACGAUCUAAAUCCCUCGCCGACUUGGAGGAGGAUUUGGAUCUGCUGCUUAAGAUCAAGGACGUGGGCGCCACUGUUUGCCGGGCGGCCCCCAUUUUCGACACCCACUCGGACGCCAACGAAGAUUACUCCCCGUGCAGCACUACACCUUCAAGCCGUGCCCGAAAAGGACUCGGAGACGAGGGAGUCAAAGCUUGUCGGGCGGCCCCUGCCCUUGAAAACCACUCGCAACCUGACGGCCACACCAAAAUGUUUUCGAGCAGCCUUCUGGGUUUAACCAUCACAUCAACGCCGCAAGGAUGUUUCAUGUACUGGAAGGGCUUUGAGCCCUCCGAACUACACGAUUACGAAUCUCGCCUUGUGGCCUUCACGUAGGAACUACCCUUCCAGGAGGGUAGACCCCUCUCUCCCAUUGUGGAAGAAGGAGAAAGUAGCACAGAGCUACUCGAGUACAGCCUUAGGGCUAACCACACGCCGGAUCAUCAAGUUUGCAUGGCCUCCCUUCGCAAUGCGGAGGACGACGAGCUGGACCCCCUCAGUACAACAACGAACAACUCGCGGACGUCUCAGCCGACGAGCCCACAACUGAUGCUCCCCAAGAUAAAGACGAGGAGCACCGAAGGAUCCAGCGGGUAAAGAACACCAAGCGUGCUCAACGUAGGCGCAACACGCAGAAUCGCGCCCGCGAACCAAGGGAUCUCAACAACGCUUUUGCAGCAGUCGCGGAUCGCGAGUAUCGUACACUGAUUGGCAUCAUCGCAAAAGCAGCACUCCUAACUCAACAACUCCCAUCCAAUCCUCAGAUACAAAGGCUGCAGUACUUGACCCAACGCGCGCUCGUGCAACUCGACGGGCAACAUCCAAUAUCUCCCACUCAGAAUCAGCCCUCAAGGUCUGAGCGCCAUGGUGAUACCGCACUGGUCAGUCGCACCCCUAGAGGAGGCCCCGGGAUCCAGAGGGACGACAACUGCCAGCGCAACGAGGGCCACCCAUCUACACAUGGCAACAAUGAACAAGAAGUACAACAACCCACUCGCAACCAGUGUGGGGUAAGGCAUCACGGCCAAGAUCCACUUGAGGCCAACCUUCACGACGCCCCCACGAUCGACCUUAGGCGGAAGAUCAAUGAAGGCCGCGACACGCGGCUUGUCAUUGAAGCGAGGAGAAGGGACCGUACCGGCAGGCAGCACAACGACAACGACAGCGACCACUUCCCCGCCUUCACCACCAGCAUCACCGACAAGUCCUAUCCAAAGGACUUCAAACCAGUCGGAAUCCUCAAGUACGACGGUAAGCAGGAUCCACGCCAGUGGAUUUGAUGCUACUCCGUUGCUAUUAAAGUUUCAGGGGGAUCCAACUCUAAAAAGGCUCUCUACUUCCCGGUGGCUUUGGAGUCCGCGCCCCUCACAUGGCCUGGAAGCCUCAAGCCAAACUCCAUCGACUCGUGGGAGAACCUCAAGCGGGCCUUCAUCGACAACUUACAGGGCUCCAUGAUCAGGGCGGGCACUCGCCAUGACCUGUCCCAGGUGAAGCACGAGAUGAACGAGACCCUAAGGUCCUACACACAGCGUUUCUUCGAGACACGUGCCACCAUCGUCAACAUCACCAAUGAGGACGUCAUUCGUUGCUUCCAAAACGGCCUCUUCUCAAAGAACACGUACCACGACUUCUCGAUCCCAUGUUUCUCAACAAAAAAAAUCUCUUUUUGCAUAUUUACUCCAUCUAUUCAAUAUAUAUUCUGAUGGUAAAAUAAAAACAUCCUUUAUGUUGAAGACUUUGAGGGCAUGCUUGCAUAAUAUACCUGAUAUAUAUUAAAGAUGUUAUUCAUCAAAUUGUAUAAUAAAAAUAUAUCAUAAUUAAGAAAUUUUAUACACACCUAUACAUUCAUACUUCCUGCAAGAACAAGUGAUGGUCAUAUUUUCAAUGUUGAACAUAACUGUUGCCCCUUGGUCUGAUUGCAUAUGUGUAACCAUAUAUGUGAAGAUUGACCCCUCAACUUUUAACAAUUGACCACUUAAUAAAAAUUGAUCUUUAAAUUCAGCCUCAAAUUCAGAGUACAUUCUCUUUGUAUAUGAUUCAGCUGUCGUCUUCAACAUAGGUAAAUUUGGGCUACAAGGAACAGAGAUCUUUCGACGUGAAUGAAAAUUUUGCAUUCAACUCAUUUUCAUGAAGACUGGCAGACACCUUCUCACAUUCUACAAGGAGCUCAGAAAGACCCAGUUUUCUACGAAACCUUUUCUUGAGGAUAUUAUUCAUACCUUCACUCCUUUGAGUAGAGGUCAUAUCAGCUGUAAAUGAGUCACGAUAGAUAAUAGCCCAUUUUCCCCUCAAGUUAUAAAGGUUUGCCAUUCAAUCAUUGUCCACAAGAUUGUACUUCCGCAAUAACUCAUGCCACUUCUUAUUAAAGUAAUACUCUGAUCUAUCCUCAUAGACACAACUCUUGAAAACAGGCAGAAACUCCUUAUACUUAUUAAUUAUAUAUCCAAGAUGUUUAGCAGCGUUAAGAUAGAUAUGCUAUAUACAAAGACGAUGGCUUGUGUUUGGAAAUACAUAAGCAAUAGCACCUGCUAUGGCUGCAUCUUGAUCAGUGAAAAUUGUGCUCGGGUGCUUUCCUGAUAUUGCUGUUAAGAAGGUUUCAAAGAGCCAAACAAAUGAUGGAAUAGUUUCAUCAAACAUCAAGGCAGCCCCAAAAAUUGUGGUUUGCUUGUGAUGAUUGACACUGAGGAUUGGAGCAAAAGGCAAUUCAAAUUUAUUAGUUUAAAAUGUCGUGUCAAAUGACACAGCAUCACCAAAGCAUGCAUAAUCCAUAAUUGACUGACCAUCUGCCCAAAAAACAUUAGAUAUACGACCUUUAUCAGGUCCAUCUUCUUGAUCUAUUUCAACUGCAUAGAAAAAUGUAGGAUCCUCACGCUGCUUAUUCUUCAAGUAGUUGCAUAUUGUCUGUGCAUCAUUAGAUUCUAAAUACUUUUUGCACUCACGACCAAUCUCAUUAUUGCAAUCCAUCCUUGAGAAUGGCACUUUGUCGGCUCCUCCAUAGAACUCCUUCAUGAACUCAUACACUUGGGCAGGCCUCGUUCCAGCUUCUCGUAUCUGGCCAAUUAGCUUUCUAUCUGCUUCUGUGACACGCCAUUGGGAUCUUAAUUUUUUUCUCUUAUUCGGACUAGCAAGAUAGUGAUUAUGCUCAAGCACAACCCUUUGCACUGUCCAAAUCCCCUCUUUACUGACACCUAACUGCACUGCAUCGUAACCGUGUCGUGCCCUUUGAUGACUCAGUGUUCCCGUAUCCUUGGCCACUACAAACUAUAUAUUUUUGAUAUAUAGUAUGAUCUGAUCGGAGUUUCGUGGUGCUCUUUCUAAUACUGAACCCAAUUUUACCGGCAUAAUUAUUAUACAUCUCAUAUGCGUGAUCCUCGGAUUUAAAGUCAUUCCAACUUCAAGAACGAUUAAAGUUUGCCCAAUUUUAUUAGUCACCUGUUGUAUAACAUAAUUUUGCAUCAUACAUUAUCUACUACUUGACAAGAAAAAUAGAAGAUCAAACAAACUACGUGACCUUACCUGAGUUGCUUGAGCCUCUACGUGAGUUGACUGAAUGUCUUCAUCUACACGUUCCAUGGUAUGGGAGUGCGUGUUGAAGUCAACAUCCUCAUGCCCAGCCACAUCAUGAUCUCCGGCUAGGAUGUCAUCCUCACCGAGACAUGAGUCAACUUGCAUGGCAGCUGCUAGGGUUAAGAAGAAUUAAUGAUGAUGAUUAAGAAGGAUUAUGUGUUUUACCAAGGGAUGUAGACGAGCAGCCUCACCACGAUGAUGAAGCCACACUACGAUCAGGAGGACUCACGGUCUCGCGCGCGGAUCGCAUGAGCAGCGGCGGCCUCUUCCGGCGGCGGCCAUGCGACUUUGUUGCGGCAACGCGUUCCGCUUGGUUUUCUUCGUAUGUACAGAGCCGGAGCCGAAUAGAAUAUUGAAAUACGGAGCCACGGAACCGAAUAGAAUAUGGGGAAUAUUGAGCUAGGAGCCGGAAUGCAAGCCACGAUGGACGAAGUACGCAGAGGCGCUAAGCUGUUUCUAUGUGCCCUAGGAUAUCCAGGUGACUUCCAUCCACGAUGGUUCGCACAGGAGCAUUUUGAGGACAGUUCGCACGGAAUUUCUAUCUCGAGGAGGAGGGCAAGACCGACUGCUGUGCCUCUGCCUUGGGCUGUUUUUUUUCCUAAAGAAAAUCCAUAUAAAGUGGCCGCUUUCCUUGCCUGCUCAACUUCCAGAGAGUCUUUUACCUUUGUGUUAUUAUAAAAGAUCCAAGUUACCUACAUAUCAUCGAAAUUUUAGAAAGUUCCUCAGCACCCUUGUUUGAAGUUUCUUUUACCAAUUUUACAUGUAACAGCAAUUAACGUGCAAGGCUAACCAUGUCAACAAGGUAAUACAGCUGCGGAAAGGUAAAACCAUGUCAACAAGCAAGGCUAACCAGAACAUUAUGGACAGUAGUGGUUUUGUGAACUGAUUAUGCAACAUGCUGAUAUGCAUCAACAGGGAAUAUAAAAUCAAUACCUUCAAAAACAUCUUAAGAAUAACCAAUGUAGAAGAUAAUGGUGACAGAGUUGGUAAACACUUUAUACUAAACAAACAUUUUUUUUCCCAUUAGAGUCUGUUCCUUAUCUCUUAAUCCAUAUUCCAAAGAAUGAUAGUAUUGGAUUUACUAGAUACAUUGAAUUGCAAGCAGUAAACACUUAUGAUUUAUUUUAUCCUUGGAAGUGCAGGAUUUCUUAACAAAUUAUGCAACGAAAAGCAUCCAAACCUUCUUGAACCAUCAACAUGUAAAUUGAUCCCUGUUGUAAAUAUAAGUGCAACUGAAAACAAGAUAAUUUUUUACUUGGUGAUAAACUUGAUACUGAAGAGCACUAUCAUGAUAACAUUUCUCUAAACAAAGGAGACCACAGAAUAUGGCAAGUAACUUAGAGCAUGAGACAGAAAUAUUCACUGCAAUGGAUAGACAUAAUCACUCCAACAAAUUUAUUCGCCACAUAAAAGAUGUCUCAACACAGUUGAGAAUCCAAUUCCUCUGAAAAAAUCCUCAUUUAUUGACAGCCUCAAGAAAAUGAUACUUUUCAGGCAGGGACUUUGCAUGGUGCUGAUAUUCCUCGCUCGAGAAAACUGAUAUUAGCAAGGAAGUAGUGGCUGCCUCAAGUGAGAAGUUCAUCUCAUCAAUUUUGGAGAGGUAAGCCCCAGCCCUCAUUAUCUCACCUCUAUGCAACAGACCCCUAACUAGAGCAUUUAGCAUACGAGAGUUUGGAGUGCAUCCACUCUUUUCCAUUGCUAAAAACAGAUUGUCAGACUCUUCUAGCAACCCUUCUUUUAUGAGAUUUUCUAUCAUUAAGCGAUAGGUCACAACACUUGGAACUAAACCAUGGGCAGAGAUAGCAGUGAACAUAUCCAUAGCAUCUUCCUUUCUGCUACUUUUGAGUAAAGCAUCAAUCAUAAUGUUGAAGGUAAUAAUGUUUAGUUGAAAACCCUUAGAACAUAAACUCUGAAAUAUUUUAAAUGCCUCAUCAACACAAUUAUUUUUGCAAAGACCAUCCAGAAUUAUGUUGUACGUGUAAAUGUCCAACUGCAGUCCACUAUUGAUCAUAUUGGGAUAGAGUUCUUUUGCUUCCGAAAAUUUCCCAGACCGAAAUAAACCCUGAAGUACCAUGUUGUAAGUGACAAUUCCAGGCCUAACUUCAUUGCUUAACAUUUCUCUGAAUAGUCUAACUGCAUCAUCUAUCCUGCCAGCUCUACAAUAGCCAUGAAGCAAAGUAUUAUAAGAAAAGGCAUCUGGUUUCAAGCCAACUCGGACCAUAUCAUCAAGUAACUUCAUAGCUUCCUUCAUCCUACCAGCUAAGCAGUGGCCAUUCAUUAAUGUAUUAUAUGAGAUAACAUCAGGUCUCACACCUACACACACCAUCAAGUCAAGGAGACUCUGGGCUUCCGUGACUCGUCCUUCUCUGCAAAGGUUACACAUUAUUGUGUUGAAGAACGAGGCAUUGGGAUGGAUCCCUUGAUUCAGCAUUUCAGAAAAUAAUUCAUUAGCCUUCUCCCAUUUGCCGACAGUGCACAGUCCAUAAACUAGUGAGUUAAAAAUAAUGAUAUUAGGAGUCACCCCUUCAUAGAUCAUCUGAUUAAAUUUGAGCAUAGCCUCGUCCACUCUUCCCGACUUGCAAAGUGCAUCUAUUAAUGCUCCAUAGUUUACUCCAUCAGGACUCAACCCUUGCUGCCUCAUUCGGUCAAAGAUAUGCAUUGCCUCAUUUAUCAUACCACCUUUACCAUACGCAAAGAGAACUAUGUUAAAGGUACGAUGGUCAGGUGAAACACCAUUUUCUACCAUCAAAUCCAAGAGGCCAUGCAUGUCAGAAAGAGCUCCUUUGGUAGCAUAACCAUGAAGCAGAACACCAUAUGUAGUUACAUUAGGUUUUGUGCCCUUUUCAAUCAUAGAAUCAAAAAUCUUUCUAGCCUCUGUGCAUCUUCCACUCUUGCAAAGGUAAUCCAGCAGCAAAUUACAAGUGACAAUAUCUGGCUGAUAACCAUGUGCGGACAUUUCUUUGAGCAUUCGAACCACCUCUUUCCCCCGUCCUGAAGAGCAAUGUCCAUGGAUCAGACAAUUAUAUGUCUGAUUGUCUGGCUUAACGCCUUUAUGAACCAUCUGCCGAAGGACACCCUCGGCCCUGUCAACAGCUUGAGCUUUGCACAGGCCAUUGAUGACUGUGUUGUAGGUCACAACAGUUGGCAAAAUCCCCUGGUUAUCGAUUUCACGAAAUAGGUUGUAAGCUUUGUCCACCUGACCCUCUCUAAAUAAGCCAUCGAUGACGAUGGUGUACGCCACGACAUUUGGUGGGCAGCCAAACUCAGGCAUUCGUCGGAGCAAUAUGUCCAUAGCCUCAGACACGCACUUUCUGUCACAGAGACCUUUGAGCAGCUGACUGAUGACUAUGCCAUUCACCCUCCAGCCUGUCUUAAGGGUGAGGCCAAAGGCGGCGAAACCAAGCUCCAGGCGUCCCAUUCGGCAGAAGCAACCGAUGAGGAUGUUGUAGGUGGACCCAUUGGGAGCCACCUUGUUCGGGGAGGCACGGACCAUCCGGUUGAAGAGGGACACGACGAGCGCGGAGGUCGAGGAGCCCCUACGCUGGGCGCGAGAGACGGCGGCGAGGAGCUGAUUGAUGGCGAUCACCGAGGCCGGCCUAGCGUGGUCUAGCAAUUCACCGAACAGCUUGACGGCGUCGUCGAGGCCAAGGUUUCCCGAGCUGACGCGGCCAACGAUGGCGCGCUCCAGCUCCAAGCAGCGGUCGCGCACGCGGCAGGACAUGCCGGCGGGGCACGGCACGGCUAGCGGCCCGGCGAGGAGACGGAUGGGCGGCCCUGCAUCCGCCUCCGGGUCGGGCGUGGCGGCUCGAUCGGCGGGGGCGGAGCAGCGCGUGCUGCGGCGUGGAGUGGGCGUUCUAUGCGUUGGCUGGUUGGGGCGGCGUGGCGCCGGGCGUCAGGUGUUGGAACAAGUCCUGAGCUCCUAAUCUUAGAAGGUAGCAGGUGGCUAGCGCCGUUAGUAGCUGGACACAGAUUGCGGCAUGGCCCAGGUGGUUGGGAUGGCAACUAUCGAUCACGAGUAUGCCGGGAUUGGCUUGGUCUUCUAUAACCAUGUAAAGAUGCAUGUAUUUCCUUUAUAUAGAAAUAGCAAUCAACUGAAAAUGUUGCCGUUUUGCAGCACCAAAAUUCAUCGAGUCCACUUCAUGUUUGCGUGUGAUGUCUUCCUCCGUUUGGAGUUCUGUCAUCAGGUGCCGCCGGGCGGUGGCCGUCCGACGUGACGUGACGAACAGAGGUGGCGAGGAGCAGCAGCAACACACAAGCAGCCAGCCAAGAACGGAAACAUAGUGGGUGGGUAGGAUUGUUUCAAGAUUUGUGUUUAUUUCUUCUUUGCUGAUUUCUUUCCAAGCCCAAGGCCCAGACAUCCAGGCGACCAGGCCAAACCUGACGCUUAAUUCUUCCGACAGAUAAUCACCUACGCACAUGUGACGCUUCGACUCGUACCGGUCAACAUAUACACUGUCAACGUAUAUUUCAUAUUAGAUUCAAUAAAACAAAUUAGAUAUUAUAAAUAUUAUUAUUUUUUAUAUAAAUUUGGUUAACCAAAUUUAAUCUAAUACAACAUGUAAAUAAAAAUAGGGGAGUAAUUUUAUACGUUCUUCAGAUAAAUUAGUCUUAAAACAAGCUAUGCAUUGCUUUAGAAUGGCAGUCUAAUUCUUUUGUAGCCACCGUAUUCUACCCGGAGAAAGAGCAGACAACACAUGCCCGAAACCUGUUAUAUCCUUCCUUUGUAUGCAGGUUUACGGGUAUAUUUCUCCAUCAACUCUCUUUUGUCAGAGCCACAUUGUCCAUAACAAUGAUGUGAUUUUCCAGAUGGCUGUGACCAUGGCCACAGGUGGCGUCGGCGGUUUGCAGCGUGAUGGGUUCCGUGGAUUCGGUGUAGCCUGGCCCGUGGGAUACAACAUGUGUGUGAUUGGUUAGCUGGAUGAGCCUUUGAGCCUGGCCCAUGCUGUCCAAAAGGUCUCUCUAGACCUGGCUCCACCCACGCAGAAAAAUUAAGAUAGUGAUUGGUUGGUUGCAUAUCCUCCAACUGAACUUCUAUAGUGCAAUCCAACAUGUUUGGAUGGUUGGGUAGGCCUCGUAGCCACAGGCUUGCGGAGUGCAAAAGGGGCAGUCCAGCCUGCAUUGCGGGAAACAGAUUUCGAUUUCGUUUCCGGCUUGUGCAGGUUGUAUUAGCUCCGCGCACUCAAUUUUGCAGACCCGCCUUGUGCGGCCCACGGCUCGUACUGUGCAAGGAACGAAACCCUCCGUCUCGCUAGGGUUACCAUUGUGCAGCCCGCGGCCCGUACUGUGCAGGGAACGAAACCCUCCGUCUCGCUAGGGUUACCACUGCACAGUACUCAUUCGCGCCGUCCGGCCUCGGCCUCCCUCUUUGCUCGCUCUCGCCCUCCCACUUCGCUCUCGCAAACGCACGCCAUCGCCAAGCUAGGGUUUCGCCGCCGCCUCUUCCUCGGCUCUACAAGCUCAAAGUGGAGCCCAUCGGCUACCACCUCCCGUCCUUUGGUAGGGCUUCCAGGAUCCGUUCUCCAUUCCUCAUUGUCUAGCUUGUCACUCAUGUUCUCUCCCCCCUCCAUUUUCUAUGCUCUAAUGCUGUAGUUGUUAUAUUGUUUGGCCAGAUGUAUGUUGUAUUGUUGAUAAUUGUUUUCGGUUAGAUCUGGUAGGCCAUAUUGUAGAUCUGGUACUUGUCAGACCCGGGGGAUUGCUCGUAUAAUAGUGAAACUAGUCGGACACGGUAGGAAACUACCCGAGAAGUACUCGGGUAGGACUCUUGGGCUUGUACCCGACUAGGACUUCCAUGUAAAAUCUGUCCUCCCAGACUAUAUAAGGGCGGAUAGGGACCCUCUUCGGGACAAUCAUCAUCAAAGGCAAUACAAACCACACAGGACGUAGGAUAUUGCGCUCUCAGCGGCCCGAACCUGUCUAAAACCUUGCGUUCCUUUGCACCUUCGAGUUCCUAAUCGCGGCAACACCCUACCUACAAACUCACCACCUCGGGGGUGUUUAUCGAGCAUCCAUCGGACAAUUCGAUGGCAUCCUUCAACUUCACCAGCACUAUGCUUGAUGAAGGCGCAACCUUCAUCUUCAGCUCCUAGAUCUGCGUCGCCAAUGGUUCGGGUGGCUUCAACAACCACCUUGCCAACUCCAAAGAGCCGGAAGCUUCUUCAUCAACUCCAAGCAGCGAUCUCAAUGACUUCAUUGACAACCUCGACGAUAUGCUGCGUCCCGAUCUGGCCCAGCAGAUCGAAAAGAUGUCCAUUUUCAACGCGACUUCCACUCGUGACGCACCAGAUCUAUUCGGGUCGGAUUCAAACCGAUCUGAAAAGACCUCACGAUCUAAAUCCCUCGCCGACUUGGAGGAGGAUUUGGAUCUGCUGCUUAAGAUCAAGGACGUGGGCGCCACCGUUUGCCCGGCGGCCCCCAUUUUCGACACCCACUUGGACGCCAACGAAGAUUACUCCCCGUGCAGCACUACACCUUCAAGCCGUGCCCGAAAAGGACUCGGAGACGAGGGAGUCAAAGCUUGUCGGGCGGCCCCUGCCCUUGAAAACCACUUGCAACCCGACGGCCACAUCGAAACAUUUUCGAGCAGCCUUCUGGGUUUAACCAUCACAUCAACGCCGCAAGGAUGUUUCAUGUACUGGAAGGGCUUUGAGCCCUCCGAACUACUCGAUUACAAAUCUCACCUUGUGGCCUUCACGUAGGAACUACCCUUCCAGGAGGGCAGACCCCUCUCUCCUAUUGCGGAAGAAGGAGAAAGUAGCACAGAGCUACUCGAGUACAGCCUUAGGGCUAACCACACGCCGGAUCAUCAAGUUUGCAUGGCCUCCCUUCGCAAUGCGGAGGACGACGAGCUGGACCCCCUCAGUACAACAACGAACAACUUACGGACGUCUAAGCCGACGAGCCCACAGCUGAUGCUCCCCAAGAUGAAGACGAGGAGCACCGAAGGAUCCAGCGGGUAAAGAACGCCAAGCGUGCUCAACGCAGGCGCAACGUGCAGAAUCGCGCCCGCGAACCAAGGGAUCUCAACAACGCUUUUGCAGCAGUCGCGGAUCGCGAGUAUCGUACGCUGAUUGGCACCAUCGCAGAAGCAGCACUCCUAACUCAACAACUCCCAUCCAAUCAGCACUCCUAACUCAACAACUCCCAUCCAACCCUCAGAUACAAAGGCUGCAGUACUUGACCCAACGCGCGCUCGUGCAACUCGACGGGUAACAUCCAAUAUCUCCCACUCAGAAUCAGCCCUCGAGGUCUGAGCGCCAUGGUGAUACCGCACUGGUCAGUCGCACCCCUGAAGGAGGCCCCGGGAUCCAGAGGAACGACAACUGCCAGCGCAACGAGGGCCACCCGUCUACGCGUGGUAACAAUGAACAAGAAGUACAACAACCCACUCACAACCAGUGUGGGGUAAGGCAUCACAGCCAAGAUCCACUUGAGGCCAACCUUCACGACGCCCCCACGAUUGACCUCAGGCGGAAGUUCAAUGAAGGCCGCGACACGCGGCUUGUCAUUGAAGCGAGGAGAAGGGACCGUACCGGCAGGCGGCACAAUGACAAUGACAACGACCGCUUCCCCGCCUUCACCACCAGCAUCACCGACAAGUCCUAUCCAAAGGACUUCAAACCAGUCGGAAUCCUCAAGUACGACGGUAAGCAGGAUCCAAGCCAGUGGAUUUGAUGCUACUCCGUUGCUAUUAAAGUUUCAGGGGGAUCCAACUCUACAAAGGCUCUCUACUUCCCGGUGGCUCUAGAGUCCGCGCCCCUCACGUGGCUUGGAAGCCUCAAGCCAAACUCCAUCGACUCGUGGGAGAACCUCAAGUGGGCCUUCAUCGACAACUUCCAAGGCUCCAUGAUCAGGGCGGGCACUCGCCAUGACUUGUCCCAGGUGAAGCACGAGAUGAACGAGACCCUAAGGUCCUACACACAGCGUUUCUUUGAGACACGUGCCACCAUCGCCAACAUCACCAAUGAGGACGUCAUUCGUUGCUUCCAAAACGGCCUCUUCUCGAAGAACACGUACCACGACUUCUCGAUCCCAUGUUUCUCAACAAAAAAAUCUCUUUUUGCAUAUUUAGUCCAUCUAUUCAAUAUAUAUUCUGAUGGUAAAAUAAAAACAUCCUUUAUGUUGAAGACUUUGAGGGCAUGCUUGCAUAAUAUACCUGACAUAUAUGAAAGAUGUUAUUCAUCAAAUUGUAUAAUAAAAAUAUAUCAUAAUUAAGAAAUUUUAUACACACCUAUACAUUCAUACUUCCUGCAAGAACAAGUGAUGGUCAUAUUUUCAAUGUUGAACACAACUGUUGCCCCUUGGUCUGAUUGCAUAUGUGUAACCAUAUAUGUGAAGAUUGACCCCUCAACUUUUAACAAUUGACCACUUAAUAAAAAUUGAUCUUUAAAUUCAGCCCUAAAUUUAGAGUACAUUCUCUUUGUAUAUGAUUCAGCUGCCGUCUUCAACAUAGGUAAAUUUGGGCUACAAGGAACAGAGAUCUUUCGACGUGAAUGAAAAUUUUGCAUUCAACUCAUUUUCUUGAAGACUGGCAGACACCUUCUCACAUUCUACAAGGAGCUCAGAAAGACCCAGUUUUCUACGAAACCUUUUCUUGAAGAUAUUAUUUAUACCUUCACUCCUUUGAGUAGAGGUCAUAUCAGCUGUAAAUGAGUCACGAUAGAUAAUAGCCCAUUUUUCCCUCAAGUUAUAAAGGUUUGCCAUCCAAUCAUUGUCCACAAGAUUGUACUUCCGCAAUAACUCAUGCCACUUCUCAUUAAAGUAAUACUCUGAUCUAUCCUCAUAGACACAACUCUUGAAAGCAGGCAGAAACUCCUUAUGCUUAUUAAUUAUAUAUCCAAGAUGUUUAGCAGCAUUAAGAUAGAUAUGCCAUAUACAAAGACGAUGGCUUGUGUUUGGAAAUACAUAAGCAAUAGCACCUGCCAUGGCUGCAUCUUGAUCAGUGAAAAUUGUGCUUGGGUGCUUUCCUGAUAUUGCUGUUAAGAAGGUUUCAAAGAGCCAAACAAAUGAUGGAAUAGUUUCAUCAAACAUCAAGGCAGCCCCAAAAAUUAUGGUUUGCUUGUGAUGAUUGACACUAAGGAUUGGAGCGAAAGGCAAUUCAAAUUUAUUAGUUUGAAAUGUGGUGUCAAAUGACACAGCAUCACCAAAGCAUGCAUAAUCCAUGAUUGACUGACCAUCUGCCCAAAAAACAUUAGAUAUACGACCUUUAUCAGGUCCAUCUUCUUGAUCUAUUUCAACUGCAUAGAAAAAUGUAGGAUCCUCACGCUGCUUAUUCUUCAAGUAGUUGCAUAGUGUCUGUGCAUCAUUAGAUUCUAAAUACUUUUUGCGCUCACGAACAAUCUCAUUAUUGCAAUCCAUCCUUGAGAAUGGCACUUUGUCGGCUCCUCCAUAGAACUCCUUCAUGAACUCAUACACUUGGGCAGGCCUCGUUCCAGCUUCUCGUAUCUGGCCAAUUAGCUUUCUAUCUGCUUCUGUGACACAUCAUUGGGAUCUUAAUUUUUUUCUCUUAUUCGGACUAGCAAGAUAGUGAUUAUGCUCAAGCACAACCCUUUGCACUGUCCAAAUCCCCUUUUUACUGACACCUAACUGAAUACGAGCACUGCAUCGUAACCGUGUCGUGCCCUUUGAUGACUCAGUGUUCCCGUAUCUUUGGCCACUACAAACUAUAUAUUUUUGAUAUAUAGUACGAUCUGAUCGGAGUUUUGUGGUGCUCUUUCUAAUACUGAACCCAAUUUUACCGGCAUAAUUAUUAUACAUCUCAUAUGCGUGAUCCUCGGAUUUAAAGUCAUUCCAACUUCAAGAACGAUUAAAGUUUGCCCAAUUUUAUUAGUCACCUGUUGUAUAACAUAAUUUUGCAUCAUACAUUAUCUACUACUUGACAAGAAAAAUAGAAGAUCAAACAAACUACGUGACCUUACCUGAGUUGCUUGAGCCUCUACGUGAGUUGACUGAAUGUCUUCAUCUACACGUUCCAUGGUAUGGGAGUGCGUGUUGAAGUCAACAUCCUCAUGCCCAGCCACAUCAUGAUCUCCGGCUAGGAUGUCAUCCUCACCGAGACAUGAGUCAACUUGCAUGGCAGCUGCUAGGGUUAAGAAGAAUUAAUGAUGAUGAUUAAGAAGGAUUAUGUGUUUUACCAAGGGAUGUAGACGAGCAGCCUCACCACGGUGAUGAAGCCACACUGCGAUCAGGACUCACGGUCUCGCGGAUCGCAUGAGCAGCGGCGGCCUCUUCCGGCAGCGGCGAUGCGACUUUGUUGCGGCAACGCGUUCCGCUUGAUUUUCUUAGUAUGUACAGAGCCGGAGCCGAAUAGAAUAUUGGAAUAGGGAGCCACGGAACCGAAUAGAAUAUGGGAAUAUUGAGCUAGGAGCCGGAAUGCAAGCCACGAUGGACGAAGUACGCGGAGGCGCUGAGCUGUUUCUGUGUGCCCUAGGAUAUCCAGGUGACUUCCAUCCACGAUGGUUCGCACAGGAGCAUUUUGAGGACGGUUCGUACGGAAUUUUUUUCCCGAGGAGGAGGGCAAGACCGACUGCUGUGCCUCUGCCUUGGGCUGUUUUUUUUUUCCUAAAGAAAAUCCAUAUAAAGUGGCCGCUUUCCUUGCCUGCUCAAAUUCCAGAGUCUUUUACCUUUGUGUCAUUAUAAAAGAUCCAAGUUACCUACAUCGAAAUUUUAGAAAGUUCCUCAGCACCCUUGUUUGAAGUUUCUUUUACCAAUUUUACAUGUAACAGCAAUUAACGUGCAAGGCUAACCAUGUCAACAAGGUAAUACAGCUGCAGAAAGGUAAAACCAUGUCAACAAGCAAGGCUAACCAGAACAUUAUGGACAGUAGUGGUUUUGUGAACUGAUUAUGCAACAUGCUGAUAUGCAUCAACAGGGAAUAUAAAAUCAAUACCUUCAAAAACAUCUAAAGAAUAACCAAUGUAGAAGAUAAUGGUGACAGAGUUGGUAAACACUUUAUACUAAACAAACAUUUUUUUCCCAUUAGAGUCUGUUCCUUAUCUCUUAAUCCAUAUUCCAAAGAAUGAUAGUAUUGGAUUUACUAGAUACAUUGAAUUGCAAGCAGUAAACACAUAUGAUUUAUUUUAUCCUUGGAAGUGCAGGAUUUCUUAACAAAUUAUGCAACGAAAAGCAUCCAAACCUUCUUGAACCAUCAACAUGUAAAUUGAUCCCUGUUGCAAAUAUAAGUGCAACUGAAAACAAGAUAAUUUUUACUUGGUGAUAAACUUGAUACUGAAGAGCACUAUCAUGAUAACAUUUCUCUAAACAAAGGAGACCACAGAAUAUGGCAAGUAACUUAGAGCAUGAGACAGAAAUAUUCACUGCAAUGGAUAGACAUAAUCACUCCAACAAAUUUAUGCGCCACAUAAAAGAUGUCUCAACACAGUUGAGAAUCCAAUUCCUCUGAAAAAAUCCUCAUUUAUUGACAGCCUCAAGAAAAUGAUACUUUUCAGGCAGGGACUUUGCAUGGUGCUGAUAUUCCUCCCUCGAGAAAACUGAUAUUAGCAAGGAAGUAGUGGCUGCCUCAAGUGAGAAGUUCAUCUCAUCAAUUUUGGAGAGGUAAGCCCCAGCCCUCAUUAUCUCACCUCUAUGCAACAGCCUCCUAACAAGAGAAUUUAGCAUACAUGAGUCUGGAGUGCAUCCACUCUUUUCCAUUGCUAAAAACAGAUUGUCAGACUCUUCUAGCAAUCCUUCUUUGAUGAGAUUUUGUAUCAUUAAGCGAUAGGUGACAACAUCUGGAACUAAACCAUGCGCAGAGAUAGUAAUGAACAUAUCCAUAGCAUCUUCCUUUCUGCUACUUUUGAGUAAAGCAUCAAUCAUAAUGUUGAAGGUAAUAAUGUGUAGUUGAAAACCCUUAGAACAUAAACUCUGAAAUAUUUUAAAUGCCUCAUCAACACAAUUAUUUUUGCAAAGACCAUCCAGAAUUAUGUUGUACGUGUAAAUGUCCAACUGUACUCCACUAUUGAUCAUAUUGGGAUAGAGUUCUUUUGCUUCAGAAAUUUUCCCAGACUGAAAUAAACCCUGAAGUACCAUGCUAUAAGUGACAAUUCCAGGCCUAACUUCAUUGCUUAACAUUUCUCUGAAUAGUCUAACUGCAUCAUCUAUCCUGCCAGCUCUACAAUAGCCAUGAAGCAAAGUAUUAUAAGAAAAGGCAUCUGGUUUCAAGCCAACUCGGACCAUAUCAUCAAGUAACUUCAUAGCUUCCUUCAUCCUACCAGCUAAGCAGUGGCCAUCCAUUAACGUAGUAUAUGAGAUAACAUCAGGUCUCACACCUACACACACCAUCAAGUCAAGGAGACUCUGGGCUUCCGUGACUCGUCCUUCUCUGCAAAGGUUACACAUUAUUGUGUUGAAGAACGAGGCAUUGGGAUGGAUCCCUUGAUUCAGCAUUUCAGAAAAUAAUUCAUUAGCCUUCUCCCAUUUGCCGACAGUGCACAGUCCAUAAACUAGUGAGUUAAAAAUAAUGAUAUUAGGAGUCACCCCUUCAUAGAUCAUCUGAUUAAAUUUGAGCAUAGCCUCGUCCACUCUUCCCGACUUGCAAAGUGCAUCUAUUAAUGCUCCAUAGUUUACUCCAUCAGGACUCAACCCUUGCUGCCUCAUUCGGUCAAAGAUAUGCAUUGCCUCAUUUAUCAUACCACCUUUACCAUACGCACAGAGAACUAUGUUAAAGGUACGAUGGUCAGGUGAAACACCAUUUUCUACCAUCAAAUCCAAGAGGCCAUGCAUGUCAGAAAGAGCUCCUUUGGUAGCAUAACCAUGAAGCAGAACACCAUAUGUAGUUACAUUAGGUUUUGUGCCCUUUUCAAUCAUAGAAUCAAAAAUCUUUCUAGCCUCUGUGCAUCUUCCACUCUUGCAAAGGUAAUCCAGCAGCAAAUUACAAGUGACAAUAUCUGGCUGAUAACCAUGUGCGGACAUUUCUUUGAGCAUUCGAACCACCUCUUUCCCCCGUCCUGAAGAGCAAUGUCCAUGGAUCAGACAAUUAUAUGUCUGAUUGUCUGGCUUAACGCCUUUAUGAACCAUCUGCCGAAGGACACCCUCGGCCCUAUCAACAGCUUGAGCUUUGCACAGGCCAUUGAUGACUGUGUUGUAGGUCACAACAGUCGGCAAAAUCCCCUGGUUAUCAAUUUCACGAAAUAGGUUGUAAGCUUUGUCUACCUGACCCUCUGUAAAUAAGCCAUUGAUGACAAUGUUGUACGCCACGACAUCUGGUGGGCAUCCACCACCUCCGUCAUCGGCCAUCAUGUGGAGCAGCUCAAGUGCCUCCUCACCUCUCUUUUCGUUGCAUAAACCCUUUAGAACUGUGCUGUAUGAAGCUGCACCUGGCGUGCAGCCAAACUCAGGCAUUCGUCGGAGCAAUAUGUCCAUAGCCUCAGACACGCACUUUCUGUCACAGAGACCUUUGAGUAGUUGACUGAUGACUAUGCCAUUCACCCUCCAGCCUGUCUUAAGGAUGAGGCCAAAGGCGGCGAAACCAAGCUCCAGGCGUCCCAUGCGGCAGAAGCAGUUGAUGAGGAUGCUGUAGGUGUGCAGGUCGGGAGCUACCUUGUUGGAGCAAGCACGGGCCAUCCGGUUGAAGAGGGAGGGGACGAGCUCCGAGGAGGAGGAGCCCCUGCCCUGGGCGCGAGAGACGGCGGUGAGGAGCUGAUUGAUGGCGAUCACCGAGGCCGGCCUAGCGUGGUGUAGCAAUUCACCGAACAGCUUGACGGCGUCGUCGAGGCAAAGGUUUCCCGAACGGACGCGGCCAGCGACAGCGCGCUCCAGCUCCAAGCAUCGGUCGCGUGCGGCGCUCACGCGGCGGGACAUGCCGACGGGGCACGGCUAGCGGCCCGGAGAGGACACGAACGGGCGGCCCUGCAUCCGCCUCCGGGUCGGUGUGGCGGCUCGAUCGGUGGGGGCGGAGCAGCGCGUGCUGCGGCGUGGAGUGGGCGAGGGUUGGAAUUGGAAUGCUGCCGGCGGCGGCCGCGGUUUAUGCAUUGGUUUGCUGGGGCGGCGGGCAUCAGGUGCCGGCGGGCGCCCGGGCGGUGGCCGUCCGACGUAACGUGACGAACAGAGGCAGCGAGGAGGACGGCAAGACCGACUGCUGUGCCUCUGCCUUGGGCUGUUCUUUUUUUCCUAAAGAAAAUCCAUACAAAGUGGCCGCUUUCCUUGCCUGCUCAAAUUCCAGAGAGUCUUUUACCUUUGUGUCAUUAUAAAAGAUCCAAGUUACCUACAUAUCAUCGAAAUUUUAGAAAGUUCCUCAGCACCCUUGUUUGAAGUUUCUUUUACCAAUUUUACAUGUAACAGCAAUGAACGUGCAACGGAAAAGACGAUUUUGCCUUUAGUUGUAGAAGACUUCAAAUUUUUGGUUCUUACUCUAGUGCCACUGUACAUUCUCAUAGUUUGUAUGUGUGGACAUGUAAAUUCUGCCUCAGCAUAGCAUGAAAAUAUAAUAUUGCAAGAUAGCCAAAAAAAUUCAACAAUUGAGAUGAGACAACCAUAAUUAGCAUUUAAUUAAAUAGAAUCAGUCAUAAAAGAGGUCCAAAUAUAUCAUCGAUGUACAUAGUCAGCUUGAUUGCAAAGUCAAGUUUGCACAUAAAAGAUUGUCACAUUGACCUCAUUACUAGUCUAAACAUUGUUUGGUCAUGCAGACCUCAAGUACUACAAAAGCAUGUCAUACGGAUGCAAACUCAUCAAAGAUCAAGUGUUUUCUUGCUUCUAAUUUCUAUGGCCGGACUAGAAGGGGAACUAGGGACCCUGCUGCGGGUUGACAUGGCUGGACUAGUCUUGUUUGGAGUAAGUUUUGGCAUUUGUCUUCUUGUGAUGCUCCUGACGUGUGCUCUGGUCAGCCAUGUACUGCUCAUUUGACUCAUAAGGAUAUGUAAUCGCCAAAGGAUCUAGCUGAUUUGAACCUGUUGCAGACCCUCUAAUAAAGAAAACAUUAGUAAACCUAUUAAAGUAGUAAAAAUAUAAUUUUAAAAAAUUAUCUUACCUCACAGAGGGGUCACUAGCCUCAGCUGUUGAAGUAUUGGAAGUACUCUUUUGUUUCUUCGCACCAGUUGAUGAGGAUGAUUUGUUCUUCCUUUUCUUUGAUAGAUCCGCAAUAGUAAGUAGAACUGGAAAGACCAUCCUUUGUGCAUGUGUUGCAGGCAUAAUAUUGGCCUCAGUAGUUAUCGGCGUUUUACCGCUACGCCCACUGAGGGAUACCUCUGAGGUGGUAAGUUGGUAGAUAGGGUGUCGCCGAGAUCAAUAACUUGAAGGUGCAAGGAACACAAGGUUGGUUUGAGCCCCCGAGAGCGUAAUACCCUACGUCCUGUGUGGUUUGUAUUUUCUUAGGUGGUGAUUAGGUGAUCUCCUAUUUGGCGAGGGUUCUAUCCACCCUUAUAUAGUUCGGGGUAAAGGUUUAUAUGUAAGUCCUAGUCGGGUACAAGCCCAGGAGUCCUACCCGAGUACUUUUCGGGUAGUUUCCUACCGUGUCUGACUAGUUUCACUAGUGUAUGAGUAGUCCUACUGCACUACUGCACUAUGAGUAGUUACAAUAGAUGUAGGGCGUGGACCAUAUCCCAUCCCUUAUCCUAGGAAAAGUGUUGUAUGCAUGGUCCCGUGACCCCAGGUCUGACAGUAGUAGCUGGUGCUAUCUUCUUUUUAGGUGGACCUCUACAUGAUAAAUAUGUUAGCACUUAGUAAUGCAACAAACAUGUAAUAAUAAUUAUAAACUUUGGCUUCCAUAUUACCUUUCAGCAAACAUUGCUGCUAUGCCGUUUGGGUCACCAUCCUUACAAGUGUACCAAUAAUAUCCAUACUGAUGGCAGAUUAGACACCGAUGCCUACCCUUGGCUCCUUUGCUGCCCUCUCUACAGCUCCCUUGUAUCUGUUUUGCCUUUUCCUACUAGCUGUUGACUUAAACAAUGGAGGAUGCAUGAAGAAAUCAUGUUCUGCUUUGAGCCACAUGGACUUGUUUGGUAUAGCAGGGAUUCUACCAUCAUAUGCAGCCCUGGACAUCUGUACUGAGUAGUAGUUGUCCACAUGAUCUUCUAUCUUCUCUCCAGGUAUAGAGGUGAUAAAAGGCAAUUGCAUGCUUAUAUGGUAGUCCAGAAACUUCCCAUGCUCUGUACGAACAUGUCCUUUCCUGUAGGUUCACAACAAACCUGUAACUAGAACCUCCCCCUUGCUGUAACCUCUGCAAUCCCAUCACCAUAGCUACAAGGAAACUUAUCUACAAUUUCAUCAAUAAGGUCUUUAAAAUUUAUGGUGUCUUAAUCAACAACUUUGUUAAUGCCAAACCAUAGUCCUCGUAUAGUUGGACUAAUUAUCCUGAUUUCUAGAUUGAAACUGGUCUCGAUGUCAUUCCUACACAUGAACAUACAUAUCUACACAGUUUAAUCAAAUCCUAACAAUACCAAACAUGGCACUGAUGUUAUGCAAUUGAAGGCAGAAAGCAGAACUCAUCCAUCUGGAAGCCAAGCUGGUCGCUCGUCCGCCAUCCUUUUAGAAACCGCAGCAAAUCACAACAAAUCGGGCCCCUGCAACCACAAGCGACCCGGCUCGCGUCUGCAGGCUCCCCGCUCAGGCGCCACGGCCGCUCCCUCGCGAGGCCCGCGCCCCUGCCCGCGAGGACCCCACCGUUGCGAAGCCAGCCUCCUUCCUCCACGCGAGAUGCAGCGGCUCCUUGUCCUCUGCUCUGCUCCACUGCUCCCUCAAUUCCUAUCUAGGGUUUGUCGUCAGGUGGAGAAUGGAGCUCUAGAGAACGAACCAGAGAAGAGUGGAGGUUGACCGAGAAAGUGAUGGGCAAUAGAGUAAUUUAAGGACCAGUUGGAGCAUCUGUGUUAGAAUUAAACGGUAGGGUGACGGAAGUGGCACACAACUAAAUGAAACUUCGAACAAGGGUACAUAGG